rnacentral:lncRNA from 1 species
AGGCGGAAGAGGACUCGAAUAAGCCAUUCCCUGAGCACAAGCCCCCUAAGAAAGGUGAGGAGCCCAAGAAGGGAAAGGGAGAGAAGCCGCCACCAAAGCACAAGCCACCACACGAGGGACACAUUCUCGUAGAGGAGGUCGAAGAGGACUCUAAGAAGCCAUUCCCUGAGCACAAGCCGCCAAAGAAAGGCGAGGAGCCAAAGAAGGGAAAGGGAGAGAAGCCGCCCCCGAAGCACAAACCAUCCCACGAGGGACACAUUCUCAUAGAGGAGGUGGAAGAGGACUCAAAGAAGCCAUUUCCCGAGCACAAACCGCCCAAGAAAGGUGAGGAGCCGAAGAAGGGCAAGGGAGAAAAGCCACCACCAAAGCACAAGCCACCACACGAGGGACACAUUCUAGUAGAGGAGGUGGAAGAGGACUCAAAGAAGCCUUUUCCUGAACACAAGCCGCCGAAGAAAGGCGAGGAGCCGAGGAAAGGCAAGGGUGAGAAGCCGCCGCACCACAAGCCACCACACAAGCCUCCCACCGAGAACUGAGUAUGCGUUCUACAAUGAAUGUAUAUGUCGUGUGCUUUUCACGGGUUCAAAUAAGAGCUGGUCCAUAGAGUGUCUGGCACUACCGUGUUAGCUGGUUCGCCGUUUGUGCUCCAUGCGAUAUGGGAUGUAUGUACUUUGCUUGGGCAGGUCCUUUGACUUUGUCUAAAUUGAUAUAUGCUGAGUACUUGCUAGCCAUGAGCUUUCCUUUCUAAAACUCUUCUAAGUGUCCCCUUCUGCAAUCUAACCUUGCCAUGUCCCGCGAGCACGAAAAGUUUGUUCAUACUCCUAAACCCUCCGCAAACAUAGAUGCACGGCUGGAAUCAGAUUAAUAAUUAAUGAAAGACGUAAAAUAGAAAGUUGAUUUGCACUAUUCAUUCGAAAAAGUCAUGCGGAAAGUAUUUAUUGGCAUGCUUAGAUAGGACUUGCUUAUUCAGAAAAGACAGCAGAUUUUCAUCCAAACAGGUGUACUAAGUACAGCUUUAAUCCAAAAAGCUUGGUUUGAUUAUCUAAGAUCUAAAAAUGGUGAUCAACUGCUUCUGACUCCCUUGUGAAGUAUGAGAAGUAAUAAUGAAUUUUUCGACAUAAUGAUAGUUGUACAUACAUGAGAUGAUAACAAUGGAUUGUAGCGAAAAUAUUGAUUCGAAUUGGAUAGAAUACUGAAGUAAGAUCUUUAGAGCUAUCAAGCCAGACUUUAAGGUAUUAUAUUACUUUCUUUGAAGAUUUAUUUGCUUCACAAUUGUUAUUAAUGGUUAUCAGCAAAUUUUUUCCAAGAUAUAAUAAAGUCCUAAAUGAGAAUACUAGAUAGUAAUUCUAAUAUUUCUUCAAGGUCUCUCUAUAAAACAUUUGGAGAAGAUGAUUAUAUAUCUUUUGAAAGAAAACAAAAAUGGGAAGAGAAAGAUUGUGAAAAGACUUGAAAGUUCUGCAAAUAAUUGAAUUGAAUAAUUAUAUUUGAAUGGAUACAACCUUUUAAAGAUGAAGAAGUUAUUUCCAAGCAAACACAAUGUUUCAAAGGUUGUAAGAGUGCCUAAUAACUAUUAGGCAAAAAUAAUAAAUUCUAGUUUAAAUAAUUAAAAAGUAAGGUCGCUCUAUUAUGAACAAUGACACUAUUUCAAUAAGAUGCAAAAAUUAUUUUAUUAUUAUAAUUUUUUUUUGGUGACCCAGGAUCCGCCGAACCCGACUUUCGUUUACGCCAAUUGUUAGCCCACGGCUUGUAUAGUGCGCGGUGCACCUUGGACCAAGAAUCAAUACCUGGGUGGGGAAGCUAACACAUGACCCACCACCAUGGCCCCCACUUAAGACAUGUUAGCAGCUGUGGAGUUUCGACUCUAAAACCUUUGCGUGCCUAAAAUCGAACCAACUCAGCUACCCACAAGUGGGUGUUAUUUAAUAAUUAAAGAAUUUUAAUUUUAAUGAAUAAAAAAUAAUGAUUGUUAAUUAGUGCAAAAUCUCAUUCACAUACGCACUCACGUUGACAAGGCACCUCUUAGUUUGUUUUACAAACAAACUACAAACAUAGAUGAAUUAGAAACAUCAAUUUUUUUCUAUUUAGAUAACUACUAAAGACUGUUAACAGAACCGUAUUAUUCUAAAUAGAUACUUACCGACGACCAAAAGCUACACUACACGUCCCAACAGAUUGAUCCGAUUUUACUUUUUGAAGAUAUGCUUCAAUUGACGUUUGACAAUUUGGCCAUCCUAAAUAGAUACCUACCGACGACUAAAAGCCACACUACACGUCCCAACGUAAUGAUCCGAUUUUAAAAAACUGUAAAAAGGAGAAAAAAAAAAGGGCCUUUUUGUGUAUAUUUCGGGAGAAGGAAAUAACAUAAGUCAAAUUAAGAAAAAAAAGGGUUAGUUCCACGUACAAUCUGGAAAAAGUUUGUGAUUACUCAUUUUUGUGUGUUUAAACUUAUGUUUCUGGCCUUAUCCUCACUUGGGGGAUUUUGAAAAUUGAAUCUAUGGAUAUUUAAAGGUGGAUGGGCAACAUACUGUUGGUAAUUUGUUUAUAAAACAAAUUGAGAGGUGCCUUGUCCCACAUCGAAAAGAUGUGAGUGCGCACGUGGACGAGAUUUGGCAUUAACCAACGAUCAUUAUUUUAUUUAUUGAGAAAAUUCGGAUUUAUUUAUAUAAAAUAUUAACUACAAAAUCUUGUUGAAACAGUGCAACUGUUCAUGAAAAGUUACAAUUAUUUAUUAUUUAUUAUUUAUUUAAUUCCGAAUUUUUAUAUCUUUUCAACGUAACCUUUGAGACGUACUUUUUCACGAAAGGUUAUCUUUGUUCUUUUGCAACCUUUUGAAGAGUUGCCUUUAUUCGAAAGAAAAAGAUAAAUACGUUUGUUUUGAGAUCAAACACACAUCUUCUUCCAUUUUUUUUCAUUUUCUUUUGAGAGAAACUACAGCCAUUGUUUCUAAUUGUUUCCCAUGAGAGAUCCUGGAGAAAUACUAGAAUUGCUAUCUAGUAUUCUCGUUUGAGACUUUGUUGUAUCUUGGAGGAAAUUUGCCAGUGACCAUUAGCAACGUAGUGGGGCAAAUAAAUCCUUAAAGAAAUAUCACGCCUCAAAGUCCGACUUGAGUACUCUAACGAUCCGACUUCAUUGUUCUACCCAAUACGAAGCCAUAUUUUCCCAACACAAACAAAUUGGGAGCGGCUAUUCGAUUAUAAAAAUGUUACAAGUCGGGGAAAUGGAAAAAUGGAAUUGUGUUAGGAGCAAUGAAGCAUGAAAGCCAGAAGUGGGUCUCUAUUGAUCAAAUUAAAUUUCGUCACGAAGGUAAAGGUUUUUUCUUUUUUUUGGUUAGUAAUAUAGAAGAUUCUAGACUGGUACCAUUAAGUACAUUUACCCCAAUUUAUUGUGGUACUGUUGUUUCAAUUUUACCCUUUAUAACCCUGUUCAAUUUAGGCGUCAAAUGUCUUAUGGGAUUAUAUGAUAAAUCCAUCCACGAUAACUUAGAUGUGAAUUUUACCACAUGAAGCAUUCUAAAAAAAAAUCCUAUUUGCCCUGACCCAUCUUCUUUCUCUAAUCCAUCUGCUUCUUCCCUUAAGACCCCGGCUUCCACGCCUCGCCUUCCUCGGGUGGUGCUCUCACCGGUGAGUACGUUUGAUCUUACAAAGAAAAAAAAAGGUACAAUUAGGUUAUUGCUAAUGCUCAUUCUUUGUCAUUGGGGUCAUUUGGGCACUGUGAGGAUUUUGAUAUAUUAUAUUUUCUUCUAAUCAUGAAUAUUGGAGUCUGUAACUUAGUGGGCGCCAUUAGUGCAAUAGGUAAAAUUUUACUCUUUGCGUGUAUUGUUAAGAUUCGGGUGAGGUCCCUUCAGUCUAGCGAUUGGCUAGAGGAAGAAGAAAGAGGAACAAAAAAUAAAGAGAAAAACAAAGGAAAAAAAGAGAAAAAAAUUACAAAAAAAAAAAAAAAUUAAAUUGUUAUUAAAAUUUGUUUACAUCAAUACUGGCUAUGUCACUUUAGUGCUAGUUAUGCUACAUUAACAGCUGGCUAAAUUUCACUAAAUGGACUGAAUUAGCACAAAUAUAAAAUGUUUAGAACUUAACUAGCCAAAAAAGUUUAGAAUUGAAUUAAUAUAAUUACAAUACAUUUAAGAUUUUUUUUUUUUUUUUGUAAUUCUUCCUUUUUUUCCUUGUUUGUCAAAUGGGUAAUUUUUGUAUAGUACAAGAAGAGUCUUAAAACUUCACAGAAGUAUGAUGUGCGUACCAGAGUAACCUAAAGUGAGUCAAUUGUUUAUGUAGUCAAUGGAAAAUAUAUCUCUAGAGGAAGCUCCAUACUAGAAUGAUGAUUAUUGAGAAAAGGAAAAUUGGGUUGAACCCCAUAUGUUGGAUCGGACUUUUUUUAUCUUGACGUUGGAUUUGCUUCUACUUUUCAAUAAACCAUCAUAGGGGUUCAAACUCAUGUGCACUGCAAAUAUAAUGUGGCAACAAGCACCAUGUACACACAUGGGCUAAUCCCGAAAAGGAAGCGUAUGAACCAAACUAAAUUGUCCGUCUUGAUCAAAUGUAGGCUAUGCAUGCUACAAAAAGGAUAUGAAAUUUAUACAUGCAAAGUACAUGCUUUAGACUAUUUUGACACAUUACGAUUUUAGGUACAAUUUGGUUGACAAAAUGUUAAAUAUAUAUAUAUAUAUAUAUAUAUUUGUAGUUUCGUAUGCAUUUUAGGGUUAUAUUACAGUUACACUUAGAAUGCAAAAAGAAAACUUGACAAAAAUUUUAUCUGUUCAAUUUUCGGUACUUUGUCAUCUAAUCUGUCCUAAUAAACUUAAAAGAGAAAAAAAAAAAAAAGUCGUCAUCAUUCUCCAAGUUGUCCAUGAUGUUCCAUAGAAAACCUUUAUGCAAAUAUCUCAAUCGGUAACUUAAAAGACUAUUGUCUAACCUUAACUCUCUCUCUCUCUCUCGACUCGACCAUUGCCCCAAUUCUUUCUUAGACACGCCACGUCUACAGUAGUGUAGGCUCCUAACUCUCUUUAAGGUCAAUGGACUAGUCGCAUUUGCUUUUUAUUCAAGGAACUUUUUAUUCAACUGCGUCCUUAAAUAAAAAGCAAGAAUAAGAAUCAAUCAGGGGUUUAGGUUUUGCAGUAUCGCGAUCACAUCUCCCUGUCCCCAUCGGCCGAAGAUGCUACAGGCAUAUCCGUGAUUGUUGGUCGCCAUUUCACUGUGGCAAAACAAGAAUAUCGGACGGGUAUUCGCGGGCUUCAUCUCAAACUUUCAACUCUGAUCUCAGAUAAUAAUUGAAGCGACGUUUUGUGUUGUGAAUUGGGAAAUCCCUUCCCACACGAAAGUUGAUAUUAGAUGAGAGUACCGUUGACUUCGAGAAUGUGAAAAUCGCUUGAGAGAGAUGGUUCAGCAUGUCUUCAAUCAGUUGAGGUUGAUCUUUUGCCAUAUGAACCGACAAUCAUGCAUUGAUACAUCCUAUAAUUCCAAAACAGGCUUUGUUAGUAUGACAUUUUUUGGGUUACUAUGAAAGUAAUAACUUGUUGUGAACUACAAACUUUUAAAAGAGUAUAUCCUAUAAUAAUUUAUAAUUAUUUGUUAUUUGAUUGUUUGUGGUCCAUAAAGACUAUUGUUGUCAUAGUAGAUUAAACAUUGUCACUCAAUCAUUUCUCUUCCAGAACCUUGAUUCAUUAAAUUCAACGUAACAUGUAAACAUCAACCUAGAAAUAUAGUUAAGGUUUUCGAGAGGAAAAUUUAAUUGUAUAGGUAAUUUACCAUAACUAAAACUGUUAUUAGGAAAAGCAAAAAUGUUAUUCUUUUUUUUCUUACAUCAAAAGAGAUCAGAAGUAAUAAAUACGGUGUGCUUGUGGUUUGGUUCAUUUUGGUUUGAAGAUCACUUUUAACCCACAAUUCAGUUAAUUGGUUUGAAAAGAAACUCAAUCAAAGCCAAGAUUAUACUAAUGAAAUCAUAGCACAAACGAAUUGAUGGCUUCAGCUUAUAAUAAUUUCAUUUCGUGUAUGUUAAGCGCACACUUAGAUAAGAAGCUUAAACAUCAACUAAGAAUGUCUAAUUAUGUAUUUGAUAAAUGCUAACCAAAGGCUGUUAUUGAGUCGAGUCGUGUCAACACCGUUAUAUACUCAAGCCUAACUCAACCCAAACAUCCAAGGCUCAACACUUGACUUGUACUCUAUUGGGAUUUACAUCUCAAGCUCAAGCUCAACUAGAAUAAAUCUUCAACAACCUCAAGCCUGACUCGACUAUAUUCACUUAUGGAGAUUCUUUUUAAAAUUAUCCCUGUCAAGAAUCAUCCCACAUUGGGACAAAUUUGAAAUGAAUGGUAGGAAUCUUUUUGCUCUCACUUGCAUCAAUCUUCGAAUAUUGCUUUUGCAGUGUAACUAGUACGGUAAUUUGAAGUGCCUUAAGAUGGCGAUGAGUAGUUAUUUAUUUAUCCUACACACUUUCAUCCAUUGCAUAGCCCACUUGAGCCUGCAAUUUCAUUUCUUUAAACUUAGUUGGUGAUCAUCCUCCACACUGGGGCAAAGCAAAAGGUAAAUGAAGACUCUUGAAAGUUUAAGUGUCAUUCAAAGUGUUGCUCGACGCAUGCAUUGUGUGUAAGGAUUGAAAUCAAAAUAGAACUAAGGGGCAUGAAAAAAAAAAGCAGUGUGCCUGGUAAAAGCAAGGCCAAUGCUCAUGAAAAAGAAGUGAAAAAAUGAAUGAGAGCUAAGGGCAUGGAAAAAACAGUGUGCCUGGUAAAAGCAAGGCCAAUGCCUAGAAAAGAGAAAGAAAUCAAACUCUUAAUAUAGUGAGUCAUAUCCCCAACAAUGAGAUACUAAAAGACUCAAAUGCUGUUUCAAUCAAUGAAGUUGUGAUAUGAAAAUCUUCGACAAUGGAGAAGGAAAGUGGUGGAAAUGUCAAGAUGAUCACCAACUUUGACCCCCCUAAACACUUUUUGAGCUUAAUAAUCCUUUCAUUUCUCAACCCAUGAGCCAAGCCUAUGUUACGUCCCUUGCAAAGUCUCUUCAGAUUAUGGCACUUGAAUUAACCUAGGGGUUCACAUGUUUUAAGCAUAACUCGAAGAAGUGCGAACAAGAUUAUUUCUUUCUCAUUUUGCAAGGUUCUUGACUUGUAAACCCGGAAAUGAUUGUGAAGCUGUCCUUUCAAUAGCCUUGACUCAAAGAGUCCCUUUGUUAAGCCGUUGACCAAGCUCACAAUAUAGUCCUUGUUAAAGAUCUCUCAGAUUGGUAAAGUCGUACCACUUGCGAGAAUACUUAGACCCCUAUCGAUAUGGUGAGAUGGAGUGAUUCUCUUUUAAAUGAGAGUGAGAGAAAGUCCUUUCAAAUCGAAAGUUUCUCAUUUGACAUUUUCAAGAUGUCUUCUUGUCUUGGUUAUAACUCUCCACAUGGGAUUCUAGUAAUAAUAGAAACGAGUGAUGAAUGCAUCUACUUGUUAUUACUAACCAUGUUUGAUAGGCAAAUUUCUCAUGAAAGUCAAGCGGCAAUUGGCCCUGAAGCAUUGGGAUUCGUCCAAACUGUUUGGUAACCCAAUCAAUCAAGCCUCCAAGAAAGGAGCCCCAGGUAAGUACCAAAUCUUUCAAAGUACUCAAGGUAAGACUCAGGUAACUCGUCUUCCAAUUUGGAUCUACAUGCAUAAAGAAAACAGAAUUUGAGCAUCUUCUCCAAUCUUCAGAAAUUGAGAGUCUAUGAAUCUCACCAAAAUCUUUCAACCCGAUCUUGACAUCUCAGUCUGAAUCUGGAUGUCUUAAUUCUUUUCAUUGAACAUUUCACUUUGGAUGUGAAUUUUUUUCGAUUUUUCUUGUUAUACCUUAGUUUGGAUCUAGGUAUUUCAAGUUCUAAAAUCUUGACAUCUUAGUUUGGACCUGGAUGUCCUAUUCGUUGAACAUUUCACUCUGGAUGUGAAAGUUUUUCGAUUUUUCCUGUUAUACCUUAGUUUGGAUUUAGGUAUUUCAAGUUCUAAAAUCUUGACAUCUUAGUUUGGACCUGGAUGUCCUAUUCGUUGAACAUUUCACUCUGAAUGUGAAUGUUUUUCGAUCUUUCUUGUUAUACCUUAGUUUUGAUAUAGGUAUUUCAAGUCUCAAAAUCUUGACAUCUCAGUCUGGAUCUGGAUGUCUAAACUAUUUUCAUCUAAACAUUUCACUCUAGAUGUGAAUGUUUUCCAAUCUUUUUCGUUAUGCCUUAGUUUGGAUCUAGGUAUUUCAAAUUCUAAAAUUUUGACAUCUAAGUUUGGACCUGGAUGUCCUAUUUGUUGAACAUUUCACUCUGGAUGUGAAUGUUUUACGAUCUUUUUUUAUAUACCUAAAUUUGGAUCUAGGUAUCUCAAGUCAUAAAAUCUUGACAUCUCAGUCUGGAUCUGGAUGUCUUAAUUCUUUUUGUUGAAUAUUUCACUUUGGAUGUGAAUGUUUUUUGAUCUUGCUCAUUAUAUCUUAGUUUGGACCUAGAUAUUUUGAGUUCCAAAAUCUUGACAUCUCAUUCACGCGACUGUAGAAAGAUGCAAGUCCUGGAAAGUGUUUCCUCAUUUAGGCAACCGUAGAAUGGUAUGGGUCCUAGACACAACCAAACACUGUCAUACUGGGCGACCGUAAAAUGGUACGGGUUCUGGGAAAGUAAUCUCUUUGCGAAGCCAUGUUACUAUUCUGGGCGACCGUAGAAUGGUACGAGUCCUAGACAUGUAACGCCAAUCUAUCUUGAGUUACUCUACCCUCCUCGAAGGUAAGUAAUUCCAGGUAAAGUUCCUUUAUCAUUUGCAUUAGUAUUUUCAUAAAUGACAUAAAUUGCAUUUCAAAAUAGAAUUCAUUUCCCUAUAAAAAAAAAAAAGAAAAAAAAAUGAAGGGAAUUCAUUUUCCAACAAAAAGUCAUUUAGUGCAUGUGCAUGAUCAAAAUUUAGGUCUCAACUUGUCUUUGAAGGCAACCUCUACGAGCUCACCUUCAAAGAGGGGCAGCUGUUGACAUCUAAUUUUAGCAAAUCUAGGAAAAUAAGGAAAAUAAAAAUUUCAUUUGAAUAAAUAAAAGGAAAAAAAUGAAAAAAAUAUGGGAGAAAUUGAUUUGAUUGAUUAUGCACGGAAAUUUGGAAUUCCGAUGAAUAUUCGGAUUUUGUCAAAUGCAGAAGCAAUUUGAUAAUCAAGUGAAUAAAUGGCAAGAAUUUUUACAAAAUAGAAGAAAUCGGAGCAAAAUCGAAUUGAUUGCGAAAUCACGCUCCGAUUUACGGCCUUAAUUUAAUGCGACAGAAGAUGGAAACUUGAAAGUUGCUAUAAAAAUGGCCAUCUGGAAAUCAUUAUAAAAAGGAGCCACAAUUUUCGUGACCAAGGGGGACGAAUUCGAAAAAAUCGGAGACAAAUUCUUGCUCGGUCGAAUUUAAACACAAAGAGGAGAGCUUGUUUUCUUUCUCCUUUCUUACUGUUCAUCUUCUCCGUGGCCUCCUUUUGUUGUGUGACAGACCCCUGCACCGCUGGUCUUCGAGCUGCACCCCCGGCCUCCGCUGCGCCUCGCCGGACUUGCCCCUGACACACUGUAGCAUCGCCGCCGCGCCCGACGCCGUUACCGCGCCCACGCCUCCGCCUGAGCCUCGCUUCGAACGCACCUCUGCCAAUGCCAGCGUCACGCCACCUCUGCCUGUUCGCUGCUGCUGCUACGUCACUACUCCAUGCACCAGCACCCGCAAGCACCACCACGUAGCGACCUGCUACCUGCAGCACCCGUGAGCCCCCUCACUGCUUGACCCGAUGCCCGUGCUUGCACCUCUGCCACGUAGCACUGCCGCCGAUGCCCGCGGUUGCUCCCUUGCAACUCCAUCCGCGCCUCAACCCUCGUCGACGCCCGCGCUCCUCGCCGUUCGCCGCUAAUUAACUUGCAGUGCCGGAUGCUAGAAGACCCGUCGCCGGCCACCACUUGACAACUUGCGACCCACGCCAGUAUCUCCGACUUCGUCGCCUUGCUGUAGCCACCAGUAGCCCCGUCGCCACUCGCCACCGCUCCAGAGCUCCCCCCCCCCCCCCCCCCCCCUCAACCGACGAUGCAUCUGCAUCACUGCGCAACCAGCAGCCCAGACCACAUCCGAUCCCCACGUGGACGCACCGCUGUCGUUUCCCCCUAGGUAGUUUUUAUUUUUACUUUUACUUUUCACCUUUUUAGUCUAGUUUAUUUCUUUGCUAUUUUUAUUUUUCAUGUUAUUUUUCUGUUUAUUUUAUUUGAUAGCAUUUUUUUUAAGUUGAGUUAUUUAAGUUGUAAUAUUGAAUGUUAAUCUUAAAAAUUUUUUAGGCAUUAUCCAUAGGGUUUUGUCCAAAAUUUUUAUAAUUAUUAAUUUGAUCCGAAAGAUGUCGGAUCAUUUUUUAAUUAUAUUAAUUUUUGGAAUUUUUGAUAGUAUUUUAAUAAUUAAAUCAAUAUAAUUAUUAAUUUAAUCCGUAAGACUUUGGAUUAGAUUUUUAAUUAUUUUGAGUUCUUUGUCGUAAUAAUUAGGGUUAGAAUAAUCGUUAAUUUGACCUGUGAAACAACAGGUUAUUUAUUCGAUUAUUUUAAUAAUUUAUUUUGUGGAUAGUUUAGAUUUAAUAUUUAUUAGUUAUCUUAAAAAAAAACUAACAAAAAAAACCAAAAAAUCAAAAAAAUCAAAAUUAUGCAUGAGCAUAUACGUUUAGUAAAUCAAACAUGUAGGUUUAGUAAAUUAGAAUUUUUUUAGGAUUACAUUUUUAGGUUGCAUCUUUAGAAAUAAGUUAGAGUUGGACCUAAAUAAUUUUUUUUUUUAAAAUAGGGUUUUAGAUAAUGUUCGCACAUUUUAAUUAUCUCAUUUUUCCAAAAAAAAAUAUUUUUCUAAGAUAGGAUAGGGUUUAACUCAAAUUAAUCCCUAAAAUAAAUUAGAAAAUUAUUUUUUUUAGAUACUUUAAUUAGGGUUUUUAUUAAUUUUGAAUUUCAAUAAAAAAAUUCAAAAAAUAUUAGGUGCAUGUUAAUUAGUUUGCAUAAUAGGUUGAUUGAAUUAGAAUUCAUUUAUUAUUAAAAUUAGGUCAUGUAGUUAAAAUGCAUGUUUUAUAAAUAAUUCUAAUUUCAAGAAAACCCCCAAAAAAAAAAAAUUUUUGAUUGCUUUGUGUGAUGCAAUUUAUUGAUUUAUUUGAAUGUUUAAUAGUGGAUGAGCAUCUGUGUGGUCACCAUAUUUGUAUGAUAGUAAUUUAGGUUAAAAUAAAUCCAAGCUGCCUGCAAAAACAUUUUUUUAAAUAAAAAGAAUGGUACCGAAAGGGUAUUAGAGAAAUCUCGUGUAACCAAGUCCCCGUACCCAUAAUCUCUGGUUCGUAGGAGUAAAAUAAUUUUUCAAUUAUUUUACUUAGGUGUCUAAUCGACCUACCAUAAAUUGAUUAGUGGCGACUCCUAGAUAAAAUCCAUUUGCAUGUUAAAUAUUUGAACCUUAAGUUGCGAAUUGGUAAGGGCUUGAGAGAGCUCGAGCUAAGUUUAAACACAUAGUAAUCCAUUAACCUAGUUUUAAAUGGUGCACUCAAAAUUUAGGUCGCGACACUUGUGUUCACAAUCACAUUUGACAAUUCCCUAUUCAUAGGUAUGCAAAGUGUUGGAUGAUUUUGUUAUUCUUUCAUCUCAAAAGUUAGCUUAAAGAAAGAGAUUUUUUCUCAUAUUUAUAAAUCGACUACCAACUUCUACAAUCGAAAUUCAAAUAAUCUUAUUCUCACAUAUCGGGCCUUGACUGGAAGCCGCAAUAAUCCGUAACUCAACCUGGGUUCUAAUAAUGAAUUCAGGUGAUUUCGAGCCUUACUCGUCCCAAAAGUUAACUUAAGGAGUGGAGUUUUUCCUCACAUUUAUAUACCAACUACUAGCUUUUUGUACAAUCAAUAUGGAAGAACCCCAAUUAAAGGGUGUAAAAAUUAGAUUUCUACAAGUUCAAUUACUAGUGAAGAAAUUUCAUUGCCCAAGUACCAUAAAAACUAAGCGAAGAGUUAGCGAUGUGUAUGGGACUUGCCUAUUUUAUGCGUUGACAUGAAUUUGAUUCAAACCCUUAAUAUGAUGCAUGGAUCCGUCUUAUGGUGAAUAAUCAGCAUUGGUUCGCUAUUGAUUGAAGCUACUGAACUUUUCGACUUGAACCGAAAUAAUAAGGAAUUUUUUUCAAAUCCACAAUUAUUGGAAAAUGAACCUACGUGAACACUUUUUGGAUUGGCAUAAUAUGUGACAUUUUCACGCAUUAAAAAUCGGUUGAGUUCAAGCAUAAAGCGAAGUUAACAUUUAUCUAAAAGAAGGAUUCGCACAAUGCAAAAUUGGACUAAACGUUGGAUUAAAGAGUGAUAUGGCUAGUAGAAAGCACAAGAGUCCAGAAUAGCACCUCACUUUCUUAUUCAGUGUGCUGUCUCAUAUGCCCCGUCCGACUAAUUCAAUCAGUAGUUGGAAAGCCCAAGUGAGGCCCUAUCAAAAUCAUCGUCGACCUAAGAAAUUUACCGAAAAAAAAAACCAAAUACCGAGUGACGUGCUCGCUGACGACGACAAUAAUCUCAAAACCCCUAUAAAUUGAGACGCUCCCUUCACUCCAGUCCCACACCAUCGGCUCUCUCUCACACAUCCUCUUCUCUGACACUAGUGACACAAUGUCUUCCAGGUACUUGCUAGUUUUGCUCCUGGGAGCGGUGCUUUUCGCCGCUGCCGUCCUCUCCGACGGCCACCACCCUUUAAAAAAAGAGCAUAAACCACACCACAAGCACCACCACAAACUGACAAAAAAAAAAAAAGCACCACCACAAGCACCACCCUGGUGGUCGCCGUCUCAUGGAGACCGUUGAAGCUGAGGACUCGCACAGCCAUUCCCUAAACACAAGCCCCCACACCACGACCACCCUCUCAAGCACAUUCUUGUCGAGGAGGUUGAAAAGGAAGACUCCCACAAAAAGCCAUUCCCCAGCAAGAAACCGCCCCACCACCCCAGCCACUUGCUUGCCGAGGAAGUGGAAGCCGAGGAAAAAAAGAAGCCAUUCCCCGAGCACAAACGCCCAAAGAAAGGCGACAAGCCACCAUCCCACGAGGGACACAUUCUCGUAGAGGUGGAAGAGGACUCGAAGAAGCCAUUCCCUGAGCACAAGCCCCCCAAGAAAGGUGAGGAGCCCAAGAAGGGAAAGGGAGAGAAGCCGCCACCAAAGCACAAGCCACCACACGAGGGAGACAUUCUCGUAGAGGAGGUCAAAGAGGACUCUAAGAAGCCAUUCCGUGAGCACAAGCCACCAAAGAAAGGCGAGGAGCCAAAGAAGGGAAAGGGAGAGAAGCUGCCCCCAAAGCACAAGCCACCACACAUGGGACACAUUCUCGUAGAGGAGGUCGAAGAGGACUCUAAGAAGCCAUUCCCUGAGCACAAGCCGCCAAAGAAAGGCGAGGAGCCAAAGAAGGGAAAGGGAGAGAGGCCACCCCGAAGGCACAAGCCACCAAAGAAAGGCAAGGAGCCAAAGAAGGGAAAGGGAGAGAAGCCGCCACGAAAGCACAAGCCACCCCAUGAGGGACACAUUCUCGUAGAGGAGGUAGAAGAGGACUCAAAGAUGUCGUUCUUGAGCACAAGCCGCCCAAGAAAGGUGAGGACCCGAAGAAGGGCAAGGGAGAAAAGCCACCACCAAAGCACAAGCCACCACACGAGGGACACAUUCUCAUAGAGGAGGUCGAAGAGGACUCUAAGAAGCCAUUCCCUGAGCACAAGCCGCCGAAGAAAGGCAAGGAGCCAAACAAGGGAAAGGGAGAGAAGCCACCCCGAAAGCACAAGCCACACCACGAGGGACACAUUCUCGUAGAGGAGGUGGAAGAGGACUCAAAGAAGUCGUUUCUUGAGCACAAGCCGCCCAAGAAAGGUGAGGAGCCAAAAAAAGGCAAGGGAGAAAAGCCACCACACGAGGGACACAUUCUCAUAGAGGAGGUCGAAGAGGACUCUAAGAAGCCAUUCCCUGAGCACAAGCCGCCAAAGAAAGGUGAUGAGCCAAAGAAGGGAAAUGGAAAGAAGCCACCCCGAAAGCACAAGCCACCCCACGAGGGACACAUUCUCAUAGAGGAGGUGGAAGAGGACUCAAAGAAGCCGUUUCCUAAGCACAAGCCUCCCAAGAAAGGUGUGGAGCCGAAGAAGGGCAAGGGAGAAAAGCCACCACCAAAGCACAAGCCACCACAUGAGGGACACAUUCUAGUAGAGAAGGUGGAAGAGGACUCAAAGAAGCCUUUCCCCGAACACAAGCCGCCGAAGAAAGGCGAGGAGCCGAAGAAGGGCAAGGGUGAGAAGCCGCCACACCACAAGCCACCACACAAGCCUCCCGAGAACUAAUUAUGCGUUCUUCAAUGAAUGUAUAUGUCGUGUGCUUUUCACGGGUUCAAAUAAGAGCUGGUCCAUAGAGUGUCUGGCACUACCGUGUUAGCUGGUUCGCUGUUUGUGCUCCAUGGGGAUAUAAAAUGUAUGUACUUUGCUUGGGCAUGUCCUUUGACUUUGCCUACGUUGAUAUAUGCUGAGUACUUGCUAGCCAUGAGCUUUCCUUUCUAAUUAUGCCUUUAAUUAGUAACUUACGAAUUAUGGACAUUGUCCCCUUGCAAUCUUAAGUAAAAAUAAAUAUGGGGUUUAUCCAUAAUUUUAAAUCAGAAAAUUGGUUGACCAAAGCUUCUUCUAAUCAAAGUUGGAGGAAGACAUGGCCCGUCUUUGUAGGUUUUUAAUAUGAUCCAGUUAUUCUAAUGCCUAUUAAUUACAACUUUCCACACCAUCCAACGUAUUAAUUUUGUAGAUUACCCUUGAUAUCAUGACACAAUAGUGGAGGUAUUUAUUGAGAUGAUUUACACACAUAGGUUGAAUCAUAAUGAUUUUCACCCCCUCGAAAACUCAAAUCAUAGAUUGAAACAGUGAUGCAUGGAACCAUUUAAGUUUGCCCCAGUGGCCACCUUUCCAACAUGGAAGGGGGAGGUGGAAUGUUCGAAUUCCCACCUUCUCAAGGGGUUGGGGUGGGGAUGAUUUAUUUUCAGGUAUAGGUUUCAACUCCCAUGCUCUGUAAGGAGGCAGGGCAAAAGUCUCAAAGUGAGAGUUAGUAGGAAUAGAGUAGGACCGACAAAAAAAAAGAAGAAAAAAAAAAAAGAGUGAUGCAUGGAAGCAUGCAUGCAUUUAUUGAUUUUGCAUAUUGCUAUAUGAACUUGUUAUCCCUCUCUUUGCACUUCACUACCUUAUUAUUUUCUUGAUCCUUCACGGGGAAUUUACAAGGGCAAAAUUACCAAACAACUCCAAAACCUAUUGUGCUUGUAUAAAUUGAUUCCUAAAUAUUUUAAUCAUGUCAAUUUAGUCCUAAAUAUUUUCAUGAUUUGCCAAUUUAUUCAUAAACUCUUUGUCAAUUUAGUCAUUUUAGCUAAUUUUGGCCCAAAAAACACUGACGCGGGUCUAGUCAGCAUCAAUCAUUCUAUUACUACUACUACUACUAUUGGCUUGUUUUUGUGGCCCUUGCCUAUGGCCAACAAUGGUUAGCUAGUGACCUCCAUGCCCUUGCUAGCUAAGAGUUGGAAAAAAAGGUAAAGAAAAACGAAUACAAAAUUCAGAAAAAAUUAUCCACAUCAGCUUUUUUUCAGCAACAAUUAGUUGAAAUAACUAAAUUGACAAUUCGUCCAAAGGUUUAAGACUAAAUUGAUAUAAUUAAAAUAUUUAGGCUGAUUGGCAAAUUGUCAAAAAAUUUAUAACUAAAUUGGCCAAGUUUAAAACUUAGGACCGAAUUAGCACAAGUAUGAUGGAUUCAGAUUUUUUUUUUUUUUUUGAUAUUUUCCAAUUUACAAGUUAACAUAGAAUACUCUCAUUUUAUCGUGAACUUGUUUAAUCCGAUCAUGAUAUAGUUGAGGAACUUCAUGAAUAACAGGUUUCUCACUAUACUUAAUUGCAUAGGAUACUAAAAAAUAAUCAUGUUAGAAAGACCUGGACGUGUGGUUAGUAUUGGAUGUGGUGUCGGCGAAUAUAUUAUCUUCAUAAAACUGAUAUGCCUAACCGACCUAAGUUUCAUAUAUGGAAACAAUGAUUAUAUGUCAAGAAAGCGAUGGUAUGGGAGACUCCAGAAACACGAUAAGAAGAUGCGUCCUAAUCAUGCCAAACACGAUUGCUAGAAUGACGAAGCCCAUCACAUGCUCCAGUUUCACUGUUCAAAUUGUUGCACGAUGAAGGGAACAGCAUGUGAGCAUUUGAGAUCCUGAUCAGUUGAGUCCCGGUAGAGAGAGGGAUUUUGCGGCGUCUUUUCUUGGUUUCCCAUUUCAGAUGGGGACCCUUUGAUUUCAUACGUUUAACUAAAACGUGGAGGCAUUAGAGACGAUGAAAAAAGGGCCCUCCACUCAUUAUAAUCUUGUCUAUUAUUUUCCUUAUAUUUUGCACAUUUUUCCUUAUCUCCGCAAGCAACAUUUUGCACGAAAACUAGGGGGGAUGAACAUUGAAACAUUGUUAGGUGAGCUCAUGAUAUGGGAUGGAUAGGUGGAUUUUUAUUAGAUGCAUUGGAUGCUCGAGCCCUUCGGUUUAUGUAAUCUCCAUUCACGCAUGCUGGGUGUUUUCGUCCACCUAAAUCGUGAUAUGUGUUUGGAGGCACUGUAAAAAUUUUGUCAACCAUCACCUAAGUUCUUUUUUUUUUCUUUUUUUUAAUCAAAAUCACAUAAGUUUAAGUUGUUAAAUGAAUGCGCAAUCUAUUAAAUAAAUAAUGUUAUACUCCCUCUUGCGCAUAAACUAGACUUUGAUAUAAGAUUUAGAAAGUGAGCACCAUUUUCAUAUAAAAAUACUUUAAAUCUCCAUCUCAUGCAUAAACAGGUUCAGUUCUUGAUUCCAAUCUUCUAUAAUCAAUGUUCAUGGGUUGGUUUCUAAUUUGAUAUAUGAAACCAAUCACUCAUACUAACAUUAAAGCUUGGGAUCAAGAAUUGAGUCAACUUGGUUUCGAUUGUCCCCACUAAAACCGAAGCACAUAAGUUGAAAAUAUAUAUAUUAAGAAAAAUUUUCGUGGGAUCACUAAUAAGUAUUUAAAAAGCUUAAAUCUGUUAUUUAAUAUCUCAAGCAUGGUAUUCACACUAAAUCUCACUAAACAACCUUAUAAGUCUCCGACACCCUUUUGGUGUGUGCGCGCACGGCAUCUUCCUUUCCCUUCUCCCAAGGACAACCUGCAAUUACUUAAAUUCAAACAUGAUGUCACCGCGCAUGUCAACCACGACAGCGACUUCACCGGAUCGUGCGCCGGAAUGAAUAAAGACCCGAAAGAGAGACAGAGAGAGAAACGGGGUGGAUCCCCUCGGAAGGCUACAGGGUUUACGAUCGUUGAUUGUUAAAGGUCGAAAAGGUGGACAUUUCGCCCCGUUGGGAUUAGUUACGAUAAAAUCUUCUUUUGAGUCGAACAGCGCCGACAUCGGUGCUGCGUAUUUUACCUGGAUUUCAGUCUUGAUUCUGCUGAGAAAGACGUAGACUAGACCCAGGUUCUUGACACCUCAUUCUCCCUCAUCCUUCCGUUUUUCUGUGGUUUCCGUCAUCAUGUCAAACUUCUUCAUCCUUGCACUACGACUAGCCUAAGCAAAUAUCUGUAUAUUCUCGUUAUCAGUCUUUUCGUGUUACUUGAAUUCAAUAUUUUAAAAAUUAAGCCGCGGCAUCUCUAUCGUGUUCGGAAAGUAACUUUGAAUUUCUCAUAUAAAAUCAACAUGUGAAGUGAUAAUUUUAGUUGAGCCAUGGUAUCAGUGAGAGUUGAUUGGUUGACUAAAUCGGAUGAAAACAUCAAGGUUUCGCUCUUUAAUAGAGUGCCCAUUGAGUUGCUUAGUAUAUUCUUUUUUAUCUUUAUUUUUUGUCAUUUAGUUUAGGAGUCCUACCCAACUUUAAAAUAUAUAUAUAUAUAUAUAUAUAUAUAUAUAUAUAUAUAUAUAUAUAUAUAAGAAAGAGGACUCAAAGUUUCACAAUGUAAAUCAUUUUUAAUAAUUAUACGGUUCAUUGAAACUUUUGGCUCUAAAUACUUUGCACGGAUAGGCGCAGAUUGCCCUGUCUAGACAUUUACGUCUAUCAAAAAAAGCUUACGUGCCGUCUAAUUUAUUGUAGAGGAUAAUUCAUAUAAUUAUACCACGACAUACAUGAAAAUAAUACAUAUCUUACUUGACAGCUCUUAGAAAAAACAUAAAUGAAUCAGUUUGAAACGAAUCUAAUGCUUCAUUGAAUAACUAUACAAAAGUAUUUCGAGCAUGGUAUGUCGGUAAUAUCCUCUAAAUCAUUUGACACAUUGCUAGUUUUUUAUCAUCUAGAAUAGGGUUUAAAAGUACCAAGUCAUCUCAUGUUACGAACUCAUGUCUCAAUUAUAACUAGAGCACGAGCUUUUCCAUCAGCAAUUUAUGUCAUGCUUAUAAAGCGUUGGUUUACUAUAAGAAAUCAAUAGCACGUCGUUUGUCUUUCAUUACGUAUCAAAUUAUCCUCUUACGAACCCUCUUUCUUGCUGAGUUUUCUGCUACUAUAGCUAGAAUCACCCUUUCACCACAAAAGAUACAGAGACGAUCUUGCAGGCCGACGUGGUCCUGCAACGAUAAUGCCAUCGCAACCUAUGGGAGCCACACAAAAGGUGGUCGGCAUUGUUUCUCUCUGCCCCAUUCGCCACACGUGCGUGAAACUGCACCCGAUUCUUAUUCGCCCGGUUAUGGCACAAUCUAGCUUGUCUCUGCCAAUCGAAGGGCACCGUCCUAACUGACAUCGGCAGUGACGUCAAAAUUAGAAAAUAAUUAGUAAUACCAUAAUAAUAUAUUCAUUGAAUAUAUGUUUUUGAAUCUAAAACCUCCAUGCAAUUAAUGGUUGCACUUGUUUGAUCAGGAGGCUGCAGGAUUUGCGAUCGUUGAUUGCGAUUUUGGUGGCAAAAGCAAGUGUGAAUCGUCGAAAAGGUGGACAUUUCGCCUCGUGGGGGUUAGUUACGACAAAAUCCUCUUUUGACUCGAACAGCGCCGACAUCGGUUGCGAGGGGCGAUCGUUGUGCGUAUUUGACCAGGAUCUCAGUCUCGAUUCAGCUUUGAAAGACGUAGCAGACUCGACCAAGGUUCUUGACGUCUCAUCCCUCAUUCUUCCUUUUUCUGAGGUUUACGGGAUUUAUGUCCAAACUUCUUAAUCCUUCCACGGCAACUUAUCCUAAGGAAAUUUAUCUGUUGUCGUUAUCUAGUCAUUUCGUGUUUCUUGUAAUCAAUAUUUAUAAAAUUAAAUCAUGUCAUAUCAGUCAUAUUUGAAAAGUAUUUUGAAAGACUUAUUAAAAAUCAAGAGUGAUUGGUUUCAUAGUGACUCGAUUCUCACCCAAAAACUGUGAAAUGACCCACUUGAUCUUGAAAUUGAACUAAACCGGAACUAUUUCUUGGAUGGACCCGAGAAUUGACGAGGAUAUCUUUCUUUUCUUUUUUCCCUAUGUAGGAUCAUUCGUUUGCUCACUCAUUAGUCAGCAUAAUUUCAUACUUUGUAACACCCCCAUAAAUAGUAACAGACCUCCGCCCAAAUCUCUCAUCCCUUACUUCUUCACUGUUGCUAUUUAGGAUUCCCAAUCUCCAUUGGAAUAAUCGUUCUUAGAAAAUUAAAGGAAAAGGUAUGUAACAAAACAAACACCGAAUUUUUGGGGGGAAAGGGGCGCCUCUUGCCUCUCUUUCAACCCCCGGCACCGUCUCCUGGUACGUCUCCUCUCCUUGUUCGCAUGGCUAUCUAUGGUUAGGGUUCUGCCCGCCUGCUUGCUGCUGUGAUUCAUAGUUGAGAUGGAAUCGGAGUCGAUGAGGGCUCGAAAUGAGGAGAAAGGGACAAGUUCCCAUGGUGGACCUCCCAUUCUGACUAAGGAACCUUCGUUGUUGACUGUUAUGGGAGGAAAUUCGAGUUCGGACACCAUGUCUGGUCCGAACGAAGCGCGAGUUCCUCGCCCAAAUGGUGGGGCACGACUUGUCCAGCGAGGAAGGUCCCGCUCAGCUAAGCCUCAAGGCAGGGAUGCCUCUAAGAAUCCAUCAGGGAAAUCGUGGGUUGCGGUGGCAAGAACCGUGCCCAAGGGCUACGAUCUGGUGUAUACCCCACCGAAUAUGGUGAACAAUAGACCUGUGAUUGAGAUCACUGAUCAAGAUCUGGAAACUGCAGAUCCCAAGAUGUUUGAAUGUUUAAUGGGCCAAUUCAUUGGUUGCCGAAUGCCUUUUAAGGUAGUUGAGGAGGCUAUGAAGAAAGUGUGGGGGCCGAACCUUGUUGAAGUCCUGUCAAAUGGCAAAGGUCUUUUUAUGUUUCGCAUUCCUGAUAGGGAAUUCCGCCGAAGUGUGCUUGAAAGUGGUCGGAUGACGGUUGCUAGAAUACCACUUGUAUUGCAGCAAUGGUCCCCUGGACUUGAGCUGAGGAGGGAGAUCCACCGUACGGUUCCUGUUUGGGUUAGACUAUCGAAUAUUCCCUUCUCGUGUUGGUCCGCCCACUUCAUCGGGAGGGUUGCAAGUGCGCUUGGCAAACCCCUUUAUGUGGAUAAGAGAACAGAACAGGUGAGUAGCCUUACCUUUGCUAGGGUCUGCAUUGAAAUUUCUGCUGAUCAACCUGAUUGUAAAAUGAUUAAGACAACCCAUAAUGGUACGAAGUGUGAAAUAGGAGUGGAGUUUGAGUGGCGACCCACUGCCUGUGCUGUAUGUGGCAUUUUUGGCCACAAUUGUGCAAUGGCUAGUAGGCCUGGUAGACCUGAAACAAAACACGCUGAUACUGGUCGUCCUUCAGAGGAGUCUGAACCUCUUAGCAAGGCCGCAAGUGGGAGCAGCUCUCAGCAAACCAGACCACCUUCGAUGGCGUCUGAGGAUCAAAGGGGAAUGUCUUCGGGUAUGCCUGUGGUCCCUCUUCUGGAAUCUCCAAUUGAUGCAGGACAGAACAGAAGCUCCUCUGGUGGUUCCUUCCCUCAUGUUCAGCUGGUUGUGGAUCUGGAGGAACCUCUUCCAUCGCACCAAAGUGACCUUGCUCAGCAUGGGAAUCAGGUCAAAGACAAAGAGAAGGAGCAGGAGCCGCAGAAUCUGAAUGCUUCGCUGAUACCAUUCUCGGAGGAAGGGCUGUCUCGCAACCUUAAGGAAGCUGUGCCUGGCCAAAAGCCUCCUAAAGCCCCUGCUAAACCACUUGGAAAAAACACUCAGGCUUCUGACUUGGCCCCGGAUUCCGUGCCGUUUGGAGACCAGAAAGAUGAUACCAGCAAUUCAUCUAAUGAAGACGGUGGCCACACGCCUAGACCCGCUCCUUUGAGUGGUCCUUCGGAACCUACUGGGGUUGGUUCGAGCCAAGAUCAGCUUCUCCUUUUGCUGCUCGACCCGCUGGGACCUUCGCCUGCGGAGGACUCGAAACCAAAUAAAGGUAGGCGUAGGAACGCCAAGCGGAAAUAAUUCUAUCCUUUUGCUUCUAUGUUUUUUGGCUUUUGGAAUGUUAGAGGUAUUAUGAACCCUGUCAGAAGGGCGGAGAUUAGGAAGUUUGCUGUUGCUAAUAAGCUUUGCCUUAUGGGGCUUUUUGAAACUAAGGUCCCUGAGCCUUUGUUUGGUUCCAUUUCUUCCAAUAUUUUGAGAGGCUGGAAUUGGAUUGCGAACUAUGAUUUUGCUCCUCGCGGUAGAGUCUGGAUUGGAUGGGAUCUAGCUACCAUCAGUUUUGAGUUGAUCUCUGCAAAUGACCAAGCCAUCCAUGGGUGCAUGAAGGGGUUAUCUUCUAAUUUUACUUGCUGUGUUUCUGCUAUUUAUGGAGAGCAUUCCUUUGUGAGGAGGCGGCCUCUUUGGUCUGAUCUUAUCCAGUGUGACGAUCUUUUUCAAGACUAUGCCUGGAUAGUAGCGGGAGAUUUCAAUGCAAUCAAGGACCCUUCUGAUCGCGUUGGUAGCUCUAAUGCCUGGAUCCCCUGUUUUGAUGAAUUCAAGCUUUGUCUGGACCAAACGGAACUUGAGGAUCUCAGGUACUCUGGCCUUCGUUUUACCUGGUCGACUUCGGUGGGUGCAAAUAGGAAGAUGCGAAAAAUUGACAGAGUUCUUGUCAACUCUAAAUGGAGAAUGGACUUUUCAUACUCGGAGGCGUCUUUUCUCAAUCCUGGAAUUUCUGACCAUACUCCUAUGGUUGUCAGGGUUGUGGAUCCGCGUCCAAGGAGGAAGCCGUUUAAGUAUUUUGAUUUCUGGGUUGACCACCCGGAUUUCCAUUCUACGGUUUUGCAGGUGUGGGAUAGUCAAGUUUGGGGAUUUCCCAUGUUUAAAUUAGUCUCGAAGCUGAAACUGUUGAAAUCUCGCCUCAAGGAACUUAAUCUGAAGGCUUUCUCGGAUAUUUCUCUAAGAACUCUUGAAGCGAGGGAAGCCUUGCGUUCUACUCAGCAUCUCCUUCAGUUGGAUCCUGAAAAUAUUCCACUAGCUGAACUUGAAAGAGGGCAGCGUCGUGCUUUUAUAGACCUUCGUGGUCAAGAGGAAUCGUUCUAUAAGCAAAAAUCAAGAAUUAGAUGGCUGAAGGAAGGAGAUCGCAACACGAGAUUCUUCCAUAACUGUGUUAAAGCUAGACAUCUCAAUAACCGUAUCCUCUCUGUCAAAGACACUGCAGGUACGGUGAUCUCGGAUCCUGAUUUGGUGCCCCAAGUUUUUAUAUCUUUCUUUUCGGAUCUUCUUGCUCCUCGAGUUGGCUUAGCUAAGCCUGAUCUUCAAGAGCUUACUUCUCUCAUUCGAAAGCCGCUAUCCGAUAGCCAGGUAUGUUCCCUAGCUUCGCUCGUCUCUGAUUUGGAAGUUAAGAAGACCUUGUUCUCGCUUGCAAAGGGGAAAGCCCCCGGUCCAGAUGGUUUUACAGCAGAAUUCUUUAAAAGUAACUGGGAUAUUGUGGGCUCUUUAGUUACAGAGGCUGUGAAAGAUUUCUUCUCAGUAGGUUGUCUUCUUAAAGAAGUUAAUGCGACUAUCCUAACGUUAAUUCCCAAGGUGUCGAAUGCUUGUGAAGUAAACGAUUCCAGACCGAUUGCUUGCUGCAACACUAUCUAUAAACUUAUCACCAAGAUCUUGGCCAAUAGAAUUGCGCCUGUACUUCAAGAUAUUGUUAGUCCGUCCCAGAAUGCGUUUGUGAAGGGUAGAAGGUUAAGGGAUAAUAUAUUAUUGGCUCAAGAGCUUUUUGCAGGCUUCCACUUAGACCCAUACCUCCCAAGAUGUGCAGUCAAAGUGGAUUUUUGCAAGGCCUAUGACACUGUGGACUGGGAUUUCCUAGAGCUUACCCUUACUGCCUUCCGGUUUCCUCUGUGGAUUAUUCGCCGGAUUAUGGUUUGUGUACGCACACCUAGAUUCUCUAUUUCUAUUAAUGGGGAGCUUCAUGGCUUCUUCCCAGGAGGCAGAGGCCUUAGGCAGGGCGACCCAAUGUCACCUUAUCUAUUUACAUUGAUCAUGGAAAUCUUCUCCGGAAUUUUGAACCAAAGGUCUUCGGCUAAAGAAUUCAAAUGUUAUUGGCGAUGUAAGUCUCCUAAGCUCACUCAUCUGUUUUUUGCAGACGAUGUGUUCCUUUUUUGCCAAGCAGAUUGGAAAUCGGCUGUGAUCCUUAAAAGAAGCCUCGACAUUUUCUCUUCAUGGAGUGGUCUUCUCCCCAACAAAAAUAAGAGCGACAUCUUUCUUUCGGGAGGCGAUCCUGCUUUGUGCAACAGAAUCCUCCUAGCAUUUGGCUUUCAGGAAGGUAAACUUCCGAUUAGAUAUCUUGGAGUGCCGAUCAUCUCAAAGAGGUUGACUAAGGCUGACUGUACUCAAUUAAUUGAUCGCAUUACCGCGCGAGCCCGCUCCUGGUCCCACAGGUUCCUCUCUUUUGCUGGAAGACUUCAGCUCAUUAGGUCAGUGCUUCAUGCUAUUCAGUCUUUUUGGGCUAGUGUUUUCACUUUGCCCUCUUCGGUUAUUUUGGGGAUUGAAAGCAUUCUUCGUAGAUUUCUUUGGAAGGGCACCUCCUUGGAUAAGGGAGGUGCAAAAGUCUCAUGGGCGGAUGUUUGUUUGCCUAAGGAGGAAGGGGGCCUGGGUAUUCGGUCUAUCAAGGACUGUAACAAAGCCUCAAUACUGAAAUUUAUUUGGAUCCUCUUUACGGAUAAGGAAUCUCUGUGGUGCCGUUGGAUACACUCCAACUUUUUAAAGAAACAUAACUUAUGGGUUGCCCCUCAGCCUUCGAUCUGUGCCUGGAGCUGGAAGAAGAUCCUUCAUCUUCGGGGCUGUUGUAGACAAUCCUUCGGUUGGGAGGUCGGUGACGGCCGGUCUACUUCAUUGUGGUUCGAUAGCUGGUUGCCUUGUGGCCCUCUUCAUCUACAAGUUCCUCAUUCUUUUUUGUUGGACCCCGACGUUCCUGCUAAGGCGACUAUGGCUUCUUUAUAUUCUUAUGUUGGUAGAUCCUGUAAAGUCCGGUUAGAGAAUUGUGGCUUCUCGCUUCCUCCUCUUUCGGUUAAUAACAAUCGUUUUGUGUGGCGUCAUGUUUCUUCGGGGGCCUUCUCCGUAGCUUCUGCUUGGAAUGUCAUCAGAGCUUCUAAAGCCAAAGCACCUUGGACUUCUUUUGUGUGGGAUAAGGAUGUAGCCCCUCGGUUUCAAUUCCUUUUGUGGCUUAUUACUAAAAAUCGCUUGCCAACGCAGUCACUUCUCCUCUCAUAUGGAAGGAUUGAUUACUCGGCUUGCACUUUUUGUAAUACUCAGCUAGACUCGACCAACCAUUUGUACUUUGACUGCAAUCUUUCUAAGACCAUUAUCUACUUUUGGGCAACUAGGUGCAAUUUGCCGUGGAGGAACGGCACUUGGGCGGAAAACCUUGCUUGGGCUAUGAGAUUCCUUGCUGGUAAGGACUUCUCUCACAGUCUUUCUCGCUAUUCCUUUGGAGCUCUUUGCUAUCUAAUUUGGAAGAAGAGAAAUGCUAUGAUUUUCCGAGGGGAAUCUCUUGAUAUUCCCGCUUUGAAGAACCAUUUGAUAAAGAUGGUUAAAGAUAAAGCAAUUACCUAUAAGGAUGUCCCUGACAAUCCAAGGAAUCGGCGUCUUCAGAGGGGUUGGAAUCUCGACCCUAUUAUCUUCACAUAACCCUUUGGGUUUUUUAUCAUUUGAUCUUGCUCGGUCGCCCCCGGUGCGGAUGUUCUGACUCUCGGAUUCCCAGGCGUCCAUGGAGUCUGGUGGCUGAAUCUGGUGGUCGCGUUGUGUCUGUUGUUUGCGCUCUUUUGUCCUUGCCUCUUGAGGUUUUUGCGCGGCUCCCUUCCACUCUUUUGUUCACAAUGAGAGUGUAAGUUUUGGUGCCGUUUGUGUACAUUGGUCCUUAGUUUUUCAUUAUAUUCUUACCUUUACCAAAAAAAAAAAAAACAAAAAAAAAACAAACACCGAAUGAGAGAGGCACGUGACUGUGUGAGACUAAGAUUGAGAGUGAGAAGUGUGAGACUAAGUGAGUAAGAGGAACUGAGGGAGGUACCACAUGAGAUUGAGUGAGAGCAAAUAGGGAUGAGUAGUGAGUGAAAAUGAGAAAUUAGGGUUUUGAGAAUUGUUUUAUAAUAAAAAAAAAAUUAUAUAUAAAAAAACUUAUUCACCUAGUUAAGAUGGUCUGACAGAUCGGUCCACAUUAAAACCGGGAACUAAACCGAUAAUCACUAAUUCCAAAUCACCAAUUCCGUCUGGUUUCAUGCUCACCCCUAUUAAAAAUAACAUGUGAAGUAUUAAUUAUAGUCAAGCCAUGGUAUCGGUGACAGUUGAACAUUUGACUAAGUUGGAGGUAAACACCAAAGUUUGUGUCGUGUUUCGCUUUCCUUUUUAAAAGAGUGCCCAUUGAGUUGCUUGCAAUGCCCAUUGAGUUGCUUGCUAAAUUCUUUCUUUAUGUUUAACUUUUUAUUAUUUAGUUUAGACCCUUACGCAAACUUUAACAAAAGAUAAACAAGAACAUAGACUGUCAGAAAGAUCACUCAACAUUUUCUUUUUUCUUUUUUGGGUCGAAGAUGACUCAAAAUUUUACUAUGCGGAAUUUCUAUUGAUAAUACGGGUCCCUAGAGUUUUUGGCCUCGAAUACUCAUCACAAAUGUGCGCAGGUCAGUCUCGUCUGGACGUCCACUUCCAUCAUAGAAGGCAAACAUGCCCUCAACGUUACUUUUUAGAAUAAUCCAUAGAAUUGUUACCCGCCUAUGCAAUGACUACAACAAUACUACAUAUCUUUAUGCAUCAAAACCUUUAUUACUCGACCACUCAUAGAAGAACAUAAAGUUAAUCGGUUCGAAACAAACCUAAUACUUUGCUAAUCAAUUGUGCAAAAGUAGUUUGAGCAUGGUACAUUGCGGAUCCUGUCUAUAUCAUUUAACAAGUUUCUACUUUCCUUGUCAUCCCAAUUGGGUUGGGAAGUACUAGGUCGCCUUACUUUACAAAAUUCAACCCACAAUAAUAAGUAAAACACGAGCUUUCCAAUAAGCAAUUUAUGGUAUGUUAGUAUAGUCUUGAUUUAUUAUAUAGAAUCAAUAGUGUGUCUUGAUUAUUUGUGAGAUUAUCCUCUUACAAUUACACUUUCCUUAGUAGGACAGGCAAUGAGGUUUACGGUACUAUAGUUAUAAUAACUUUUUUCACUCUUAAAUUACAAGGUUUCAGCAAGAAAUGCGUUUUAGAAAAAACCGGCAAGAUCAUGAUUGUUCAAGCGACGGUCCCCUUCCGCUCCGACAAUGGAGCUCUCUCUCUACCGCCUGAGUAGCAUCCUCCUCCCUUUUUGGGUAGGUCUCGAUUCUGCAGCUUUGGAAUCCUCCCGCAUCGUAAUCCAUCUGUCAUCUUCUUCCACCCCAGCACCAAUGACACAGAGUAUAUUGGAGUUGGAAAACCCUAAACCCAUCCCUCGUUUCAUCGCACAUAAUAAACCCUAAAACCCAUCAUCUCACCAUCGCCUCUGUAGCAAGCUCUCUUCCCCAAUCUCUAUCAUUCCCACUCACCACAUCAUCCCCUUCUGUCUUCUCCCGCAGAAUCAGAGCUCCCUUGAUCCAUAUUUAGCUUUUGCCCUAUACAGAAAAACCAACUGAUUACUGAAGAAUCAGGCUAGCUCUCUAUCUCUGUUCCCGGUAAUGCUGUUGUUUUCAGAAGAUGGCAAACCAGUAUGACGAAGAGCGAAGGUUGGUUGCCCUCUGCAAAAGUCUGGGCAAUCUAUGGUCUGAGGAAGUCGUGGUGGAUAUCCCAGGUGAAAUCCCUGAAGAAAACCUGCUAGCAUGUUGGAAAACGUUAUAUGGGAAGUUUUUUAACAAGCCUAAUGUGAAUUUUAAUGCAUUCAUCACUACAAUGAAAAAAGUUUGGUGGAACAAAAGUUUUACCUAUGCUGUAAUAGAGCCUGGAUACUACUCAUUUUCCUUCAAAUCGGAGGCUGAAAAAUAGCGAAUAUUAGACUCAGAGCCGUGAUAUUUCUCAAGCAAUUUAUUGGUUCUAAAGCAAUGCGAUCCCGACACCCCUGAUAUCUGUUAUGAAUUUAACCAUUGUGACUUCUGGGUAAAUCUAUUUGGCCUCCCUUUUGGAAGAGUUACAUAUGAGGUAGUUACUGAAAUUACAUAAAAAAUCAGAGAUGUUGCGGAGGUGAAAUUAGAAGCGAAAGAGAAUAGCAAUUACAAGGUGGGUAGGGCCAGAAUUAAGUUGAAUUUGGAAAACCCUCUUAAAAUUGGAGUUCUUGUGAUCUUGACAACAAGAGUUUGUGGGUAGAAUUCAAGUACGAAAGGCUACCGCAUUAUUGCUAUUCAUGUGGGAGAAUUGGCCAUUAUGCGACAUUUUGCAAAGAAAUACUAUAUGAGGAAUCAGAGCUAGCUGAGAACUUACCAGGCUGCUUUGGACAUUGGCUAAGAGCGGAAGCGUGGGAGCUUAGUCCUUAUGGGAAAAUCUUUUAUGGUAAACAAUAAUUUCAACAUGAAAAAGAGGAGAGUGUGCCCGAAACCCCCAUUUCACCAGUCCCUAUAAUAGAACGGCAGCAACAUGAUCAAUAUCUGCAGCAACAUGAUCAAUAUCUGCAGCAAACUCAACAUCUCGCCCUAUUGGAUAAUGUAGAAAAUUCAUGUUCCAAAGAAUGCAACAAUCAUCUUCCUUCUCAAGCACUAGUUCUCUUGAAAGAGAAGGGCCCUCAAAAAAGAGGAAGCAGUUGCCUUGAUGAGGAAUCUGUCAUGGUACUAUAUGAGGAACAGAGGAAGGAGAUUGAAGCAUAAAUGGUUGACAAUUUUGCAGGGAAAGGACCAAACAAAGAGAAAACUAAAAGCGCCAAACGUUCUUCCUCAAAAAAAGGAAAACGAUUCUGUCCUUAUGGUGCUCAAACAUCCAACAUAGCAGUGGUUGAUACCACUCAGCUAGUGGAAACCCCUAUUCGUGUGGCAAACAAGUCUGACCAGUGGGCUUUGGUGGCUAGCCCUAAUAAGCCACCCACUCAUCCAUGAAGAUUUUAAGCUUGAAUUGUCAAGGGCUGGGCAAUCCCUUGACAAUUCAAGCUCUAAGAGUCCUAGUGACUCAAGAAAGGCCCAAUAUUGUCUUUAUUAUGGAGACAAAAAAUCAGGAGCAAAAGGUGCAAAGAUUACGGCGGCGACUUAAUUUCCAACACUAUUUCUUAGUGAAUCCAGAAGGUACAGCAGGGGGUUUAGUAAUCUUUUGGGAUGACCAGGUACUUCUGUUCAUUAACUCUUUCACAGAAAAUGUAAUUUUCACUCAAUGCCAACUACAAGCAAACAACCAGCGUAUGCACAUCACGUUUACACAUGCCCCAAAUGAAUUUAAGGAGAGAAUUAGAUUAUGGGAGAAUAUUUAUCGGGAAAGUCUACACUAUCAUUUCCCUUGGUUGUGUAUGGACGAUUUUAAUGAAAUCCUAUAUCAUUGGGAGAAAGUGGGAAAGAAAAGAGCAAAAACUUACCAGCUUACAGCAUUCAGAGAUUUCCUGUAUAAAUGUUCUCUACUGGAUUUGGAAUGUAAGGGAUGCGCCUUUACCUAGACCAACAACAGAGAGGGAGAAAAUCUGGUCAAGAAGCGAUUAGACAGAGUAUUAUGUAGUUCAGAAUGGCGCAUUAACUAUCCCACAACUGAAUGCAUUGCCUUACCUGCCAUUGGUUCCGAUCACACACCAAUUAUUCUUUUGACAAGCCCGCCGAGGAAAAAGGAAGGGGAAGAGCUUUAAAUACGAAGCUUUAUGGGCAGAGGAGGAGGAUUGUGUGACUCUCGUAAGGGAUACUUGGGCUGAACCGGCUUUCCAACAGUUUAGCAUGGUGGAGAAACUGCAGAUAGUGUCAAAAAAGUUGUUAAAAUGGAGCUAGAACAAAUUCACCAAUGCUAAAAAAAAAGGAUUACUUGGCUGAAUAGAGAGCUACAACACGUAAUGAACAGCAUAGGAAUAUCCAAUGAGAGCAAGGCAACAAAGGAAUUAAGAAAAGAAAUUGAUCAAUUGUGGAGACAAGAAGAAAUGUAUUGGGGAAUGCGGUCAAGAAUCAAUUGGUUAAAAUGGGGGGAUAAAAAUACCAAAUUCUUCCAUGCCACAACUAUCCAAAGGAGAAUCAGAAACCAUAUAUCAUUGUUGAAAAAUGCAGAAGAUGUUUGGGUGCGUGAGGAGCAGUAGCUAAAAGGAUGACCGGUACCUACUUUCAAAAGCUAUACGAGUCAGUGGGGCCUCGAAACUUUCAGCCCCUUUUACAACAAAUUCCAGUUUUGGUGGAUGUGAGAAUGAAUCAAUGACUAGUCGAAUCUGUUAGUAUGGAGGAAAUCAUGACAGCUAUGCAGCGAUUAGGAGCCAAUAAAGCGCCUGGACUAGAUGGCAUGCAUGACAUUUUUUUUUUUCAAAAAUUACUGGCCAGAUAUUUGUCAGGACAUAUUUACAGAAAUACAUAAUUUUUUCACCACCGGUUAUCUCAAUCCUAAUCUGAACAAAACACUUAUAACCCUUAUUCCUAAGACCCCAAACCCAGAAAAGCUGGAAUAGUUCCGCCCCAUCAGCCUUUGCAAUUUUAUAUAUAAAAUCAUCUCAAAAGUGUUGUCUAAUAGAUUAAAACCUCUACUACCUCAACUCAUUGCAAAAGAACAAAGUGCUUUUGUGGGGGGAAGGCAAAUACAAGACAAUAUAUUGAUUGUACAAGAGAUUCUUCACAGAUUACGAACUCGGGAAAGGAAAAAGAAGUUUCAAGUAGUCUUAAAGUUAGAUAUGCAGAAGGCGUAUGAUCGGAUUGAAUGGGAUUUCCUAAGAGCAUGUUUAACUAGAAUGGGAUUCUGCGAACAAUGGGUGCAAUGGCUAAUGCAGUGUGUUUCCACAAUUACAUUCAGUGUAAAUUUUAAUGGGGAGGUUCUUUCUUCUUUCAGGCCAACUAGAGGAAUUCACGAAGGUGAUCCACUAUCACCCUAUCUUUUUAUAUUAGUAGCUAAUGUUCUAUCAACCAUGAUGAGAAAAGCAGUGGAUGAUGGCACACUUAGAGGAAUUAAACUGAACAAUAGUUGCCCUACCCUUUCACACUUGUUAUUUGCAGAUGACUCUAUCUUUUUCCUCAAUGGCACUACCCUAGAAUGUCAAAAUCUAGCGAUGAUCCUACAUGAAUACUGCUUUGCUUCUGGUCAGGCCAUUAACCUUAAUAAAUCAGGUGUAUAUUUCAGCAAAUUUUGCCCUACUACAUUGAGGAGGAACAUGGCCACAGCAUUGCGAGUCCCAGAGAUAGAAAAAACAGGGAAAUACUUAGGAAUUCCCUCGGAUUGGGGCUUCUCGAAGAAAUAUAUGUUCGCGUGGAUCCUAGCGCGAGUAAAUAGAAAGAUAGAAAACUGGAAGGAAAGCUUGUUAUCAAAAGCGGGGAAUGAGAUUUUAAUAAAAUCAGUGGUUCAGGUUAUCCCUCAAUAUGCUAUGUCCAUUUUCAGAAUCCCAAUUUCUAUUUGCAAAGCUAUUGAGAAGAGGACCGCAAAUUUCUGGUGGAAAACGAACAGUAGACAUGCCGGUAUACAUUGGAAGAAAUGAGAAUCCUUGAAACUCAGAAAGGAUGAAAGGGGUAUUGGCUUUAGGCUGCGUUUGGGAACUACUUUCCCAAGGAUCUUUGGGGGGCUAAAGGCCUUUGGGCCAAGGAGAGAGUGUUUGGGAAGAUUUUUUUUACUUGCCUUUGGGAAAGGCAAGCCUUCCCAAGGCUGAAAGCUCAAGGCACCCUUAGGGCUGCCUUAGGCAUUCAGCCUUCUCGGAAGGCUGAUGGAGAGUAAGAAAAAUUUUUUUUCCAUAAAUGUCAUUGCUAACAUUUCAUUUUUCCGGUUUUGUCCUCGUAACUAUUCACCUUCUUCUUCAUUGACGUUGGCUGGCGAAGUUGCGCCGAGCUGUGAGGGGCCAGCAACAAGCUGGAUAGAGGCAGUAAGAGGCCGGUGUGUCACGGCGACCGUCAGUGGCCAAUCACGUGGCCUCGGUGCCCCCCUGUGAGUCGUGUCGCCGCGACCGCUGCAACCCUCGGCAACCACCCAGAUCUGGGUCACAGCAGACCACUGUAACCCUGGCGACGCUGCGACGCCCGACAGAUCUGGGUCACCGAAGGUCUCCGUGACCCAGAUUCGGGCCACGCAACCUCCGGUGACCCAAAUCGUGCGCAGAUCUAGGUCCCCGGAGGUCGCCACAACCCAGAUCUGGGCCGCGCGACCUCCAGCGACCCAAAUCGAGCGAUCUGGUCGCGAUGAUUUGGUCGCGAUCGGGGUUGCCGCAAUCAAAUCAAGUGGCCCGGGCAACCUCCGCACGGAGGUCGCAAUGCGGCGGGUUGUGCAACCUUCAGGCGAGGGUCGCCACGACCCACAUCUCACGAUUUGGGUCAUUGCGACCCUCACCGGACGGUUGCCGCGACCCGCCGCACCGCAACCUCCGUGCAGAGGUCGCCGGGAUCGCUCGAUCUGGUUGCGGCGACCCUCGUCGGCCACCUGCCUCUCGCUGGACCGCCUGCCCCUCCCAGACCCUCACCGGACUGCCUGCCCCUCACCGGCGGUAACCAGCCAAUUCUUUUUUUUUUUCCUUUUUUUUUAAUGACAAAAGUCUUUUACACAGUUAAUUUGUCCAAACACUAUUUUGCUCAAACAUACUUUACAAUGGACUUUUACAAAGACGAUUUACCAAACACAAUUUGCAUAUUCAAAAACCCUUUUAGCUCAAAGGCCUUUACAUUUUCUCAAGGACUUUCCCCAAAAGUCUUCCCAAACACACCCUUAAAGAUCUUAUAGCUUUCAAUAUAGCUAUGCUGGGGAAACAAGCGUGGCGAACUCACAGAGUCCUCAGUCCCUACUGAGUAAAGUAAUGAAGGGUUUGUAUUAUCCACAGGGUGAUUUCUGGAAAGCUGGAAAAGGCUCUCGUCCGUCAUAGUGUUGGCAAAGUAUAACUUGGGGAAGAGAUUUUAUCAUGCCACAUAUAAUGUACUCAGUUGGGAAUGGGAAAGACCUCUAAAUCCGAGAAGACAAAUGGCUAAAGAGUGGCCCUAUAGGCGGUCUAGCAACAAGAACAAACUAGUUCAAGUGGCAGAUUUAAUAGAACAAGGGACUGGAAAGUGGAAUACAGAGAAGGUGGAAAUGAUGUUUGAUGAAAGAAUUGUGAGGGAAAUACUCGCCACCCCUAUUGGUUUGCCCAAUUCGAAAGACAAACUGGUCUGGAUGAACACUAAAUCUAGUAUUUACUCAACUAAAAGUGGCUAUUUUUCAGCAAGAGAAGACCCAACUAAUAACCAUACCACAGCAGCAACCUCAUCACAUCAAAUAAAUCUAGAUCUCUGGAAAUACAUUUGGCAUUCUCAAACCCUACCCAAAAUCAGACUAUUUCUUUGGCAAGCAUGUCACAACGCACUACCAACAAGGGAUAACCUUCACAGGAGAAAGAUAGUACCUGAUCUUUUAUGUUCCAUUUACAAUAUGGAAGCUGAAACCACUGAACACAUCCUCUUACACUGUCCAUGGACAGCUCAAAUUUGGAGCGUCGCACCCGUGCACAUCAAAAUUUCCAGAUUUGGGUUAACACGGUUUGAUGACUGGCUUUUUCAACUGAAAAACAACCCGACACUCACUAAGUAUUUCGACCAAGUUAUUGCUCUUCUCUGGAGUAUCUGGAAGGACUAGAACCAGCAUAUCUUUGGCCACCGUCCCUUGUCACCAAAACACACUUUAUUCUCAGAUCUUCGACUAAUCUACCAAAAAGUGAAAAGAAGAAAGCUACUUCACCUUCUCAUUGACGACCUCCCCCUCACGGCACCCUAAAAAUUAAUGUAGACGCGUCCUUCUUUGAACUGAACGAAGCGGAAGCAGAGACUGAAGAAGACUUGUGAUCGGCAAAGAACAUAGUAGCGAUCGCGUGUCUCUGUAGAGAUCUCGAGGAUGUCUCGUUGAUGGCUUCGUGAAAAUCGUCGAUGCUUCCUCGGCUACACAAGCGGAAGCCCUAGCUCUCCUUCAAACCCUAGAUCUGCUCUCCAAUCGAACGGAACUUCAUCUGGAAGUACAAUCUGAUUGUCUUCCCCUCGUGCAAGCGGUAAUGUCUUCGAAGGAGUUAAACUGGCAAGUGAAGCCUCUACUGGACUAGGCCCAAAGCAAGUUGAAGGAGUUCCAGCACAUUUCCUUGGCCCAUUGCACCAGAAACGCCAACAGGUCUACAGAUUGGCUUGCCAAAGCAUGUCGCUUAAAUUAUCUUCCCUCUAAUUGGUUGUUUAAUCCCCCGCCUGCUCUACUAGACCUUUUAAGCACCAAUGCUUUUGAUGUAUUUCCUCAAAACUUUAUGAAGUAAAUCUAGUAAUUGCAUUUCAGAUCAAAAAAAAUUACAAGGUUUCAAUCCUAAUUUUAGAUUUCCAUCUAGGUAAUCUUUAGUUUGGAAAGGGUCUAUAAAAUCUCUAUGUUCAUCACAUAAGAUUAGAUAUCAAUUUGGAGGCCGAUGUGGUCCUAGAACGAUGAUGCCAUUGCAACCUAUGGGAGCCCCCUCAAGGGUGGUCGGCCCUGUCUAUCUGCCCCAUUCGCCACUCGUGCAUGGAUCGUCAAAGGCUCAGCAUCGACCUGUAUUGGUGCAUGCCUGUCGUAAUUUGCCACGUGGCGCAUGGAGCUACACUACGACGUCUCGCGAAGUCUACGUUAAUCAAGUAGCAAGAGUACCCGCCCAAUUCUUAUUUGAUUGAAUAUGACUCAAUCUGGCUUGUCUCUACCAAUCGAAGGUCAUUGUCCUGGCUGACAUGAACAAUGACGUCAAUAUUUAAAAAGAAAAUUUGUAAUACCAUAAUAAUAUAUUCAUUUAAUAUAAGUUUUUAAAUCUAAUGACUCAAUAUAAUUAAGGUAGAAGUACAACACAAGUCUCAAAACUUAGCAUAGGGGCUUAAGUGCCAAAAGUUCCAAAAAGUACAUUUAAGUACCAUUUUUUUAAAAAAAGAAAAACCAAAACAAUGUCGUUUUGCCUCUUAUUUAAUUAAAUUAAAUUAAAAAUUAAAUUAUUAAAAAAGAAAAAAGAAAAAAAAAGGGAAUUGCAUCAAGUAGCCCUCAUCGCUGCCGCCCCAUUAUCGCUGGAAUGGGCCGGUGACAAUGGGGGGAGAGUCUGCCGAGGUCGCCUAGCCCCCCACUACUGUCGGUCCUUCCUAGCGAUGGUGGGGCAGCAAGGGCGAGAGUUGCACAGCACUUGCGAAACAUGUUGCAAUCCCCCCCCCCCCUUUUUUUUUUCCUUUUUUGUCUUUUUUUUUUAAAAAUUAUUUUUAAAUUUAGUUUGAUUAAUAUUUAUAUUAAAUUCAAAUCUGAUGCAAAAUGACGUCGUUUUUUGCUUAUCUAACCACAUUAGCGUGCAAAACGUCAUUUUUGGCUUAUAUAGUCAGGUUAGCAUGCAAAAUGAUAUUGUUUUCUACUUGUUUUGCUAGAAAAACGCCACAUCAAUAUUUUUGCUAGAUUUUCUCGCCAUUGGCACUUAAUUGAUCAAUUUUGCUCCGAUUUUGAUACUUAAGUGUACAUUUUUGAAAUUUUGGCACUAGUGUCUUCCUGUGUUAAGUUUUGAUACUUCAGAUGUCCGCGCCUCUAUAAUUAAUGGUUGUGCUUGUUUGUGUUCUCAAACCCAUGUGAGUCUUGUCCACUUCGGCGUAGAAAACCUCAAAAAUUGUUCAUUUGAUAAUACUAGGGUGCACAUGUGUAGGUGUUGCGGUAACUGUUAGCCCAUGGGAUGCGCUUACUUGUAAAAUGAGAAUAUUAGUUAUAUAAUAAUCUUGUGUUCACUAUCACGUUUGACAAUUCCCUGUGCUCAGGUAUGCAAAGGUUGAUGAAUUUAGAUUUCUACAAGUUCUGAUUACUAUUGAAGAGUUUUCAUUGACCAAAUACCACGUUCAUGCAACACGAUAAUAAUUAAUAAAAAAAACCGAUCACGUUUGUAGCCUGUAGGGACUUGCCCAUUUCACGAGUAAACAUGAAUUUGAUACGAACCUUAGAAUGAUGCAUGGACCCAUCUUAUGUUAAAUAAUUGACAUCGAUAUGCUAUUGAUUAUAGCUAGGGAAGCUUUUGACUUGAAUCGGACAACUAAGGAUUUUUCUUAGAUCCGCCAUUUUUGUAACUACAUCUAAACAAAGACUUUUUGAUUGGCAUGAUAUGUGACGAUUUCACACACAAAAAAUCAUUGAGUAUAGCCAUAAAGCGAAGUUCUUCAUGAACAUUUGUCUACACAAAGAUGGAUUCGGAUAAUGCAAAAUUGGACCAAACAUUCAAUUAGAGAGUGAUAUAGCCAGAAGAAAGCUAGAGAAUCUAGUACAGCACCUCACUUUCUUUUUCAAUGUAAUUGAUCCAAUGACUUAUACAUAUGUCGUUUGUUAUCCCCAUAAGAUUUGUGGGUAGAUGCAAUGAAAUAUGAGAUGUAAUCUAUGAAUUAUCCUGGUGUUUGUGAGCUUAUUGAAUUGUCUGAAAGUUAUAAGUCCAUCGGCUGCAAAUGGGCAUAUAAGACUAAAAAGAGACUAAAAAAAAGAUUGAGAAGUUUAAAGUCAAACUAAUAGCCAAGAGUUUUACUCAAGAAAAGAAUAAGCUAUGAAUGAACUUUUUCCUCGUUCUUUUCUAAAGAUUCUUUUAAAGUAAUCAUGGCAUUAGUAUCUCAUAUUGAUAUGUAGUUACAAUAGAUGUAUAUUUAAAAAAAUGGAUACCAAGAUGAGGAGGUCUAUAUGGUGCAAACCGAAGGCUUUGCAACAAAUAAUUCAAGUAGACUUAUAUGUAUAUUGAUAAAGUAUAUUUAUGACCUCAAGCAAGCUUCUAGACAAUGGUACUUGAAGGUUCAUUAUGUUGUCACUUCAUUUAGUUUUGUUGAGAACAAAGUAGAUUAGUGUAUAUACUACAAAGCCAAUGGAAUGAAAUUCAUUUUUCUCAUACUUUAUGUAGAUGAUAUCUUGCUUGCGGGCAGUGAUAUUGGAUUACUACAUGAGACAAAGCGGAUCAUGUUGAAAAAAAUUUGAAAUGAAGGAUUUUGAUGAUACAUCUUUUGUCCUUGACAUUCAGAUCCGUACGGAUCGUUCUCGCCGUAUGUUGGGAUUGUCAUAGAGGGUAUAUGUUAAUCGUAUUUUGGAAAGAUUUUGUAAUUUUUUUUUUUUUUGGUAAGUAUCACUCCAGAGGGUAAGUUUGGAAAAGAUUUUGUUUGUAGCAUUGUAAGUCAAAAAUUGCCUAUGUCAUUAAGGGUGAUAAAAUGAAUCUCUCACAAUGUCCUCAUUCAAAUUUUGAAAAAUCCCAAAUGAAUGAUGUACUUCAUGCUAGGAUACUUGGAAAUAUCACGUAUGCUUAAGUUUGCAUUGGAUCAAACAUUGCUUUUGCGAUAUGACUUCUGAGCUAAUAUCAAUCAAAUUGCUGCCAAGAAGGUUUUAAGAUACCUAAGAAGGACAAGAAACUAUAUGCUGAUUUACAAACACGUUCAAGAUUUGCAUUUAGUAAGCUAUUCAGAUGUAGACUUUGCUAGCUAUUUGGAUAAUUUGAAGUCGACAAUAGGAUAUAUCUUUAAGUUAGCAAGAGUUACAAUGUUAUAAAUAAGAAAGAAACAGAAAUCUAUGUCAUCCUCAACCAUGCAAGUGGAGUUGGUAGCAUACUUUUCGAUUGCUACUAAGGCUAUUUGAUUCCAAAACCUUAUUAGGGAGUUGGCCAUAUUUGAUUUUAUGAAUAGACUUAUAUAAUUGUAUUGUAAUAAUAAUUGUGCAUUGUUGUUUAUCAACAACGACAACAGAUGUCUUAAGGUAUCUAAGCAUAUGGUGGUUAAGUUUUUGAAUAGUUUAGAAUGUUGGUGCUACAGUAGAGCAUAAGCCCAUCACAUGCAUGCCAAUGAGCCUUCGUGACUUUGCUCCAGUUUCACUGUUCAAAUUGUUGCACGAUGAAGGGAAAAGCAUGUGAGCAUUUGAGAUCCUGAUCAAUUGAGUCCCGGUCGAGAGAGGGAUUUUGCGGCGUCUUUUCUUGGUUUCUCAUUUCAGAUGGGGACCCUUUGAUUUAUUACGUUUAACUAAAACGUGGAGGCAUUAGAGACGAUGAGAAAAGGGCCCUCCAAUCAUUAUUAUCUUGUCUAUUAUUUUCCUUAUAUUUUGCACAUUUUUCCUUAUCUCCGCAAGUAACAUUUUGCACGAAAACUAGGGGGGAUGAACAUCGAAACAUUGUUAGGUGAGCUCAUGAUAUGGGAUGGACAGGUGGAUUGUUAUUAGAUGCAUGGAAUGCUCGAGCCCUUCAAUUGAUGUAAUCUCCAUUCACGCAUGGUGGGUUUUUCCGUCCGCCUAAAUCGUGAUGUCUGAGCAUAGCUCCUGAGUCAUUACAUAUGUGUUAGGAGGAACUGUAAAAUUUUGUUGGCCGUCGCCUAAGUUUUUUUUUUUUUUUAAUCAAAAUCGUCUAAGUUUAAGUUGUUAAAUGAAUGCGCAAUCUAAUAAAUAAAUAUGUUAUACUCCCUCUUCCGCAUAAGCUAGACUUUGAUAUAAGAUUUAGAAAGUGAGCACCAUUUUAAUAUAAAAAUACUAAAUCUCCAUCUCAUGCAUAAACUAGCUGUUUUGGACUUAUAAAUUAGUCAUUAGUUGCAAAAUCAACAGGUUGGAUUCUCAAUUCUAAUCUUUUGUAACCAAUGUUCAUGGGGUUGAUUUCUAAUUUGAUGUAUGAAACCAAUCACCCAUACUAACAUUAAAGCUUGUGACCAAGAAUUGACUCAACUUGGUUUCGAUUGCCCCUACUAAAAUGGGAGAAUUACCAAAAAAGUCAUAAACCUAUUGUAAUUGUGCCAAUUCAAUCCUAAACUUUUUUUUUGGGCAAUUUAGUCCUAAACCUUUUACAAUUAUGCCAAUUCCGUCCAUCCGGUCAAAAUUGGCCGGCCGACGCUGACGUAGACGCCGGCCGUCCGGCGAACGCUGACGUGGCAUUUAAAAAAAAAAUCUAAAUUUUUAAUAUUUUUUUCGAAAUUUUUAAUAUUUUUCGAAUUUUUUUAUUCUUUAUUCCUUUUUUUUCCCACCAUCUUCUUUGCCUCUUGGCCGGCCGGCACCGGCUAGAGGCGAGGGCUGGUGAGGUAAGCCUCGCCGGCCACUGGCGAGGGCGAGGCCCUGCCAGAUCCGGCGAGGGCGAGGCCCUGCCAGAUCCGGCGAGCUCGGCCCUCGCCAGAUUCGGUAGGGCCUUGCCCAGCCAAGGCGAGGGUUGACCUCGCCAGUGGCCGGCGAGGCGACCUCGCCCACCAUCCACAAUGCGGCAGCGAUCAGAAGCCGCGAGCUCGCUCGCACUCCGGAGGCGCAAUCGCAAGGCACGGAUUUAGGUGGAGAGAGAGAAUGGUUCCGAGCGAGUGGCGAGGCGACCUCCUCAACCGGAGAAUCUUCGGGUGACUAUCCCUCUCUCUCUCUCUCUCUCUCUCUCUCUCUCUCUCUCUCUCUCUCUCUCUCUCUCUCUCUCUCGUUCGAAGUGACCGAGCGGCGGUGACGUAGCAGAUGGCGACGGGGCACGCGGUGCGGUUGCAGUAAGCGCGGAGUACGCUCGGCCAAUUGUGACAGAGACGUGGUGGCCGAUAGGGUUUCGAGGGAAGACAACGGCGACGACUCGUCGAGCAGCAGCUUGUCACCUAUUCGUAGCGAGGGUAUGGCACGGCGGCGUUGCUGGUCAGCGAGAUGGCGUCAAUUGCUGCGACGGCGACAGACAGUAGGGAUUUGUCUCUAGGACAAUGUCGGGGCUACACUGAAGCAGAUGCUGGCGAGCGAUAGUGACGCGGUGGAGAUCUGGUGCAACGAUGGCGUCGGGGGGUUCGGGCAGCGUCAACAGCACCUCCUUCCUUCUCGGAUCUAACCCCCUUCUCUAGUUUCUCUUCCUCUCUCCGGCCCCUCUUCGCAGAUCUAGAACUCCCUUGCCCAAAAUUCCUACCCUCUGGCUAGAUUUGAGAUCUCUGCCUCGCCCUCGCCAAUGGUCGGCGAGGCUGACCUCACCAGAUUUGGCGGGGUCUCGCCCUCGCCAGUGGCCGGCCAGGUUGACCUCGCCGGCCUUCACCUCCAGCAGGUAGGGGCGAGCCUUGCCAUUGGCCGGCGAGGCUGACCUCGCCAACCCUCGCCUCUGGCCGGCCGAAGAAGAUGAUAGGAAAAAAAUAAAAAUAAAAGAAAUAUAAAAUUCGAAAAAAAAAAUUAAUUUUUUUUAAAUGCCACAUCAGCAUUCGCCGGACGGCCGGCGUCCACGUCAGCGUCAGCCUGCCAAUUUUGGUCGAAUGGACUGAAUUUGCACAAUUGUAAAAGGUUUAGGACUAAAUUGGCAAAAAAAAAAAAGUUUAAAACUGAAUUGGCACAAUUACAAUAGGUUUAUGACUUUUUUGGUAAUUCUCCCUUACUAAAACUAUAGUGCACAAGUUGGAAUUUUUUUUUUUGUGGGAUCACUAAUUAGUAUUUAAAAAGCAGGGUAUUCACACUAAAUCUCACUAAACAACCUCAUAAGUCUCUGACACCCUUUUGUUGUCUGUGCGCACGGCACCUUCCUUUCCCUUCUCCCAAGGACAACCUUCAAUCACUUAAAUUCAAAUAUGAUGUCACCGCGCAUGUCAAUCAUUAUCAGAAAAGGCUUACAUGCCGUCUAAUUUACUAUAGAGGAUAAUUCAUAUAAUUAUACCACGACAUACAUGAAAAUAAUAUAUAUCUUACUUGACAACUCGUAGAAAAACAUAAAUGAAUAAAUUUGAAAUGAAUAUAAUGCUUCACUGAAUAACUGUACAAAAGUAUUUUGAGCACGGUAUGUCGGUAAUAUCCUCUAAAUCAUUUGACACGUUGCUAGUUUUCUCGUCAUCUAGAAUAGGGUCAAGAAAUACCGAGUCAUCUUACAUUACGAACUCAUGCAACAAUGAUAACUAGAACACGAGCUUUUCCAUCAGCAAUUUAUGUCAUGCUUAUAUAGCGUUGGUUUACUAUAAGAAAUCAAUAGCACGUCGUUCGUCCUUCAUUACGUAUCAGAUUAUCCUCUUACGAACCCUCUUUCUUGCUGGGUUUUCUGCUACUAUAGCUAGAAUCACUUCUUUCACCACAUAAGAUACAGAGACGAUCUUGCAGGCCGACGUGGUCCUGCAACGAUAAUGCCAUCGCAACCUAUGCGAGCCACACAAAAGGUGGUCGGCACUGUUUCUCUCUGCCCCACUCGCCACACGUGCGUGAAACUGCACCCGAUUCUUAUUCGCCCGGUUAUGGUACAAUCUAGCUUGUCUCUGCCAAUCGAAAGGCACCGUCCUAACUGACAUCGGUGAUGACGUCAAAAUUCAAAAAAAGAUUAGUAUACCACAAUAAUAUAUUCAUUGAAUAUAUGUUUUUGAAUCUAAAGCCUCCAUGCAAUCAAUGGUUGCACUUGUUUGUUUCUCGACCCCAUGUGAGUAUUGUCAGCUUAGAAAUAGAAAACCUAGAAAUUGUUCAUUUCAUAAUAUUGGGGAUGCAACUUGUGUGUAGGUGUUGUAGGGUUCUGUCGUGCCUUGUGGUGCACUUACUCGUAAAAUGAGAACAUUAAUCAUAUAAUAAUCUUGUGUUCACAAUCACGUUUGACAAUUAUGUAUUCAUAGAUAUGCAAAGUGUUGGAUGAUUUUGUCAUUUUCUCAUCUCAAAAGUUAGCUUAAAGAAUAAGACUUUUCCUCAUAUUUAUAAAUCGACUGCCAAUUUCUACAAUUGAAAUUCAAAUAAUCUCCUUCUCACAUAUUAGGCCUUAAUUGGAAGCCGCAAUAAUCCGUAACUCCUGGGCUCUAAUAAUGAUAUAAGGUGAUUUUGAGCCUUACUCGUCUCAAAAGUUAACUUAAGGAGUGGAGUUUUUCCUCACAUUUAUAAAUCAACUACUAGCUUUUUGCACAAUCAAUGUGGAAGAACCCCAAUUAAAGGGUGUAAAAAUCAGAUUUCUACAAGUUCAAUUACUAGUGAAGAAAUUUCAUUCCCCAAGUACCAUAAAAACUAAGCGAACAGUUAGCGAUGUGUAUGGGCAUCUUAUGGUGAAUAAUCAGCAUUGGUUCACUAUUGAUUGAAGCUACUGAACUUUCGACUUGAAACGGAAUAAUAAGGAAUUUUUUUCAAAUCCACAAUUAUUGGAAAAUGAACCUACGUGAACACUUUUUGGAUUGGCAUAAUAUGUGACAUUUUCACGCAUAAAAAAUAGGUUGAGUUCAAGCAUAAAGCGAAGUUAACAUUUAUCUAAAAGAAGGAUUCGCACAAUGCAAAAUUGGACUAAACGUUGGAUUAAAGAGUGAUAUGGGUAGUAGAAAGCACAAGAGUCCAGAAUAGCACCUCACUUUCUUAUUCAAUGUGCUGUUUCAUAUGCCCCGUCCGACUAAUUCAAUCAGUAGUUGGAAAGCCCAAGUGGGGCCCUAUCAAAAUCACGGUCGACCUAAGAAGUUUACUGAAAGAAAAAUCCAAAUACCGAGUGACGUGCUUGCUGACGACGACAAUAAUCUCAAAACCCCUAUAAAUUGAGACGCUCCCUUCACUCCAGUCCCACAGCAUUGGCUCUCUCUCACACAUCCUCUUCUCUGAUACUAGGGACACAAUGUCUUCCAGGUACUUGCUAGUUUUGCUCCUGGGAGCGGUGCUUUCCGCCGCUGCCGUCGUCUCCGACGGCCACCACCCUUUAAAAAAAGAGCAUAAACCACACCACAAGCACCACCACAAACUGACCAAAAAAAAAGCACCACCACAAGCACCACCCUGGUGGUUGCCGUCUCAUGGAGACCGUCGAAGCCGAGGACUCGCACAAGCCAUUCCCUAAACACAAGCCCCCACACCACGAUCACCCUCUCGAGGACAUUCUUGUCGAGGAGGUUGAAAAGGAAGACUCCCACAAAAAGCCAUUCCCCGGCAAGAAACCGCCCCACCACCCCGGCCAUUUGCUUGCCGAGGAAGUGGAAGCUGAUGAAAAAAAGAAGCCAUUCCCCGAGCACAAACCCCCAAAGAAAGGCAACAAGCCACCACCGAAGAACAAGCCACUCCACGAGGGACACAUUCUUGUAGAGGAGGUGGAAGAGGACUCGAAGAAGCCAUUCCCUGAGCACAAGCCCCCCAAGAAAGGUGAGGAGCCCAAGAAGGGAAAGGGAGAGAAGCCGCCACCAAAGCACAAGCCACCACACGAGGGACACAUUCUCAUAGAAGAGGUGGAAGAGGACUCUAAGUAGCCAUUCCCUGAGCACAAGCUGCCAAAGAAAGGCAAGGAGCCAAAGAAGGGAAAGGGAGAGAAGUCGCCACCAGAGCACAAGCCACCACACGAGGGACACAUUCUCAUAGAAGAGGUCGAAGAGGACUCUAAGAAGCCAUUCCCUAACCACAAGCCGCCAAGGAAAGGCGAGGAGCCAAAGAAGGGAAAGGGAGAGAAGCCGCCACCAAAGCACAAGCCACCACAUGAGGGACACAUUCUCAUAGAAGAGUUUGAAGAGGAUUCUAAGAAGCUAUUCCCUGAGCACAAGCUGCCAAAGAAAGUCAAGGAGCCAAAGAAGGGAUGUCGCGACCAAUUUUUUUGGGUUUGAACUACCUAGGGUUUGGUUAAUGGAUUGUUAAGCCUAGACUUAACUUGGGCUCUCCCAAGCCCAUAUCAAUUCGCGACUUAGGUUUGAAUUGUUAACAUGCAAUUUUUUUAAUUAGGAGUCGCCACUAAUCUAUUUUUGAUGGGUCGAUUAGAAACCCUAGUAAAGUAACGGGAGAUUUACUUUACUCCUACAAACCAGAGACUAAGGGUACGGGGACUUGGUUACGUUAGAUUUCUCUAACGCCCUUUCGGUACCUUUCUUUUUAUUUUGAAAAAUGUUUGGCAAGCAGCUCGAAUUGAUUUUAAAUUAUCUUCCUAACAUGUGAGGUGCUCAUGCAGGUGCGUAAACCACCAAUUUAACACCCAAGAAAACAAUUAAAUAAUGCAGGACUUACCUCCAAAGCUACGAAAGCAUCUGCAAUAUUAAAUUAAAAUCCAUAUCAACAACCCUAGAUAUGGUUUCUAAUUAACAAGCAAUUACUCAAUUUUUGUUUCCUCUUUUUCAAUGAAAAUAUAGUCCAUAUGCAAUGCAAUGCUUCUAAUCUAAUAUGAAAUGAUAUGGCAUGGCAAUAUGUCAUAAACUAUACGAAUGAAUAAGAAUUUUUGUGAUUUCUUAAUGAACAUGCAAUAAUUAAAUAUGCAAUCUAGAUGACUUAAUUCUAAUGACGUGCAAUGCAAUGCAAUGCAAUGACGUACAAAAUUAUUUCAACUAAAAUGACGUGCAAUGCAAUGCAAUGACGUACAAAAUUAUUUCAACUAAAAUGACAUGCAACAUGCAAUUUAAUAUGCGAGGUAUAUGUCAGGCGACAUUUAUUAAAUUACAUAAUCUAAUUAUGGGCAAUUUCUAAUUAGAAAUGAACCUAACAAUAAUCACUAAAAUGACAUGCAUUUCAUGAACCUAAUUCUAUAUGACAUGCAAAUGACAUUUUUUUUAUUUUAAAAAUGCAAUCUAUCCUAGAAAUUGCAACUAAUUUAACCUAAGACAAAUUUUAUGAAAUUUGAAAUGAUCUAGCUAGAUUAAUAUUCUAUCUAAUUUAAACUAGGGAUUAAGUCAUAUUAAAUCCUAAUUUAAACUAAGACAUUAUCUAAAUCUAAAAUGCAAUUUAUCUGAAAAAGGUGAUAUAAAUUUAAAAUGAAACAUGCAAUUCUAAUCUAAUAUGCACAAUGAUUUUUUUUUGUGUUUUUCUUUAAUCUCGAAAUUAAAACUAACACAUAAUUAACAUGCAAUUCAAAUAAAAAACUAACAACCUAAAUGAAUGCACUUUCUUUUUUUGGAUUUUUUUAUUUAAAAAUUCAUAAUAAGAUUGCAAUCCUAAAUAUGCAAGAUGACAACAAACAUAAUCCUAAUUAAGAUUUUUUUUUAUUUUUUAUUUUUAUGAAAAUAAGAUUUGACUCAACCAACUUGACGAUAGCAAAUCAAACAAAAGAUAAGAUUGAUAUCCAAAAAUUAGCGAAUUAUAUCUCGCGCAUGAGAUCGGGUUGACCAAUUUUAAUUUUAAAUCGUGAAUCAAAUCUCGGGCUUGAGAUUGGAUUGUCGAUUUUUAUAAGGGAUUGCGAGUCGGAUUUCGGGCGCGAAAAUCGGACUGUCAAUCCCUAACUUGAGGGACUAUUUCAUAUUGGGAUCUCAAUCACAUAUUUAAAGGGAACAAUUUCACUAAAAGAAUAAAAUAAAAAGGAAAGAAAAAGAAAACGGUAAGUAAAUAAAUAAAUAAAAACUACCUAAUUUUCCUUUUUCCUUUUUUUUUCUUUUCCUUCCAAGCUUCGUGUUCGUGGCAAGUCACCAAAGCAAAGGAUCGGAGGUCCGGCAGGGGAAACUCCGGCAAAGGCAGUGGCUGUGUGGUGGGUCACCGUCAUAGGAAGUCACGGUGGUCGGAGCUCCGGCGAAGGGACUCGGUGGCUGGUGGACACAGCUGCAGCAGCUGGUCACGGGUGCUACAACGGCGUCGCUCGGAUGGGGAGCAAGCUCGGAACGGCGUGCAGGGGCGGAGACCGACUCGGCGGAGGGCUGCUACAGGCGUCGUAGGUCGUCGCAAGGACUUGGGUGGCAGCAGGCCACCGGGAUCGCGAGAUCUGGAUAGUGGGCCACGAGCAGAGGACUUCGGGUCGCGGCACGGUAGAGCAACUCAGGUGUCAGCACUUGGGCAGCAAGAGCGUCGGAUCGCUAGACCUCGGGGCAACGUCGUCAGGCUUCAAUGGGGCCAGCGGCGAAGCUUCAGGUGCUGGGCUAGGCGAAAGCAGCAAGGUGCAGGCGGUGGGCGGACGAACGGCGAUGGUGUUGCGGGCAAGGCCGGCAGGGCGACGGAUCGACGCUGGGUCGCCGGUGAGGUGUAGCUCCGUUGCUGGGGUUGAACAGCGAGGCGGGAGCAGCGUGUUUGAAGAAGAGCCAGCCGGUUAAUUGCAGAGGUGGGGCAGCGAAUUUGGGAAGACAAUGAACAGUAAGGGUCAAAUCACUCCCUCUUUGUCUCUGUCUUCUCUCUCUGCCUUUUCUUUUUACCUUUUUUUCUCUCUCUUUUUUUCGACGAAGAGAAUCCCCUCCUAUUUAUAGAGUGAAAACCCAAUCUGUUCUACCUACGAAGAUUUGCAUAACAACCCAAUCGCUGAGGAUUACCCUUCGAAAAAACGAGAUGUGCUCAACCAAAAAGAGGUUCAAAAAUCUAAAAUCAUCUAUUAAAAUCUUCUAAGCUGACUCACUUGAUCAUUGAAGAUUUUAUAUACUGACUCAGCGAUUGAAGAUAAUCUGAAAUUUUUUGUGAAUAUUUUCCAGAUAAUUUAUUCAAGAUAAAGCUUCAUUAUCCAACUCUAAAAUCUUCCAAAAUGUCUAUCCGCAACAAAAUAUUUUAGAUUAUUCCUUAUCCUCUUUAACAUUCCCAACGAUUUUACCACCAAAAGACUAAAGAUAAGAUUGCGAUAUGAUUUUUUUAAAUAUCAAAAACCACCAUAAUAUCGCAUCAAAUCUCAAUUUUCCACGAUAUAAUUUUCAAUAAAAAACAUGGGUUUGGGCCAACUUGCUCACUUUGUGGGCUUAGUCCAACUAAUUUGAACCCAUCCGCACCGACCCAAUAGAUAAAAUGCAAAAUUAAAAACAAAUGCACCUAAAUCUAUAUGCUAUGCAAUUAAUAUUUUUUUAGGGGUUAAAAUUAAUCCAUAAUUUCUUAAUGCGACAAACGACUGAAUUGGGUAGCCAAAAUUUAGGUGUCAACAAGGGAAAGGGAGAGAAGCCGCCACCAAAGCACAAGCCACCACAUGAG